rnacentral:lncRNA from 1 species
UUAGGGCAACUCGUCUAUCGUAGACUUCGAAACACGUCACUUCGAAACGUUUCUCCAACUUGUGUAUUUCACUGAGUUGGAAGCUGACGAUGAUUACCAUGCGGUUGUUUGAGGCGUUUAUGGCGGGUAGCACUGUUGGGGCUGUGUUGGUGUCGAUACUUUAUUCGCGUCGUCAUCAGGUGCCUUCUCGUGUUUUUACGGGUAAACUCUUUCAUACCAGUAGCGCAACAGAUGAGAUCCUAGCUGAGCAUUUCACUCGCAACGUGCAGUUUUUUGGCAGCACGGCACAACAGCGUGUAUCAAGCGUGUUCGUCGUUGUCGUCGGAUUGGGUGGCGUUGGAAGUCACUGUGCGCAUAUGCUCCUUCGCUCCGGGGUGUCACGAAUGCGUCUUAUUGAUUUCGAUCAAAUUUCUCUAUCCUCGCUCAACAGACAUGCAUUGGGCACUCGCCAGGACGUUGGCAGCUACAAGGCAGAGUGUCUCGCGAAGCACUUCAGAAAAAUUUUUCCUGAAGCUCAACUCGAAACUAAAGUGGCAAUGUUUGAAAAAACAGUUGAAGACGAGUUAUUGAAGGGAGAGCCUGAUUUCGUGGUUGACUGCAUAGACAACGUCGACACUAAGGUUGACUUACUUGCUGCUUGUGUGCGGAAAAAUAUAAAUGUGCUGGCGUCUGGUGGUGCCGGUGCGAAGUGUGAUCCUACACGAAUAAAGAUUGUUGACAUACGAGAAAGUGUUGUUGAUCCGCUUGCCCGCGCUGUUCGUCAUCGACUCAAACAGGUUCAUGGUAUUGAAAGUGGCAUACCUGUCUUAUUAUCAACAGAGAAACAACGCUGCAAAUUGGCAAGUUUUGUCUUAUCCUUCAUUUCUUACAAACUUUUCUUUGUUCCCAAAAGUAUAUGUUUUCGGCGUCACGUCACGUUGGCCAUCUAUUGAUGUCCAUAAUAUUUGGUUUCACUUGGGGCAACAGCUGAAACGUGCAGUGCGUCUAUUUUGCAAGACUUUCAGGUUUUGCCAAAUUUUCGCAUAAGGACACUUCCUGUGUUUGGUGCUCUGCCAGCUAUAUUUGGUUUAUCGUGUGCUGCACAUGUUAUAAGUACUUUAACAGGACAAGUACUUAGUUCUGACCCUAUUCUGCAUAUUCACACGAAGCAGUACAAAACGCAAUUUGAAAGGCUACGUGAUAGGGAAGCCAGCCGAGGCAGUAUGAAGAGCUGGGUAAAUGUUGAGCUGCAGGCAAGGGUUUUAACUUUCUUCAAUAUUUCGUGACGAACUAAACUGUCUAUAUUCACAGGAUGUGAUAUACCUAAUCAAGGAUGUUUGGCAAGGUCGCAGUGCUCGAGCUCAAAAUCCGUCGAUAGGUAAAGGGAUGUGGCGAAAUACCUCGGAUUUAUGCUUGACGCGCUGGAAUCCGUCUAAGCCAGCAAAUCUAGAUAACUUGAUUUUACUCUCUUCUGAAGAAGCCGACGCACAUGACGCAGAAGUUUUUAGAAUAUUCGAAACCGAUAACGACUCCGACCAAAUCAAACCGUGUGGUUUUGACUCUUUGGUUGAUCGAGAACCUUAUUUUGCUUACUUCAUUGAGCGCAAACUCCAACGCGUUAGACGCGACUUUGGUUUAGUAAGAGAGUCACCAAAUACUUGCUCUGGCCUAAAUAUACACCUGAUGGAACAAUAAUUUGGUAUCAGGAUAACCUGCUGAAUAUGUUCUUUAUGCGAAAGCUCACUUUAUGAAUAAUUUAGUGCGUCGUUUGCAGAGGUGCCAAAUCAUAAUUUGCAUGUAAUGCGCGAGUACACUUCUUGUUAUUACGCAUAUUCGUUUUCUACACUCAGCUCGGAAAGCCAACAUGUCUUCCAACGUACCUUCGCGUACUUUCGUACAUGCAGUGAGUACGUGAGCAGUACGCAUACGUGUAGUACAACUGAGUACGUACUAGUACAACCCAAAUCAUGAACUGCGCCCAGGCUGCCUCGAAGUGAACGGACGCGAGGUGACAAGGGUCGGGUCAAGUUCAGUGAACUGUAAUCGAGAAUGUGCAGAAAGGAACGAGUGCCAGGUAUUCGGCGAACUGAAUCCGAGUGAGAACUCGGGAAUGACGGAUACCGUAAGUCACAAAACAGGAGCUGAGACAGUGACGAAACUGACAAGACAGCUCAGAACAGUAGUUACAUUACUGACAGUGAACCUGUGUCCAAUAUCAGGAGGAUGAACGAAUCAACCCUACAACUUAUACAGGGCCAAGUUGUGGCGGAGGACGAACGAAUCAACCCUACGGAGGUUCAACCCCCGUGCAGUGAUAAAUCAAUAUUCAUCAAGUGCAUAUACUAAACUCUCAACAGAAGUCGAGAAAACAAGUCUGGAAAAACGCUUUUAAAAACAGUUACACCUGUACCCGACUGGCCGGGAUAGGAAUGGCACUGGAAUAUAUCUGUACGUGUACGUGUACAGUACAGUACGUGUACAGUAGGUAGGAUUUAGGUGGAAUUAAUAUGAGCAGACCGGUAGUACACAGCUACACACAUGCAUGAUACAAGCAAGAUCAAAAAAACAUGUAAUACGAAGGUUAGAACUUUAUUAAACUGUACACGUAUGUACUUCCGGAAAUACUAUUCGAAGGUACACACGCUUGGCCUAAGUUGCGUGUACAUCUGUACACGUAGCCCAAAAAUUACGCGGAUGGGACACGUGCGAAGUAAUAAAAGUAUUCUAUCUCCGAAGAUACGCAUACUGUACGAAGGUACACGUACGACUACAACGUUUUAGGCUCACGUACGUAGAUAUCUUCAUAUAAAAAGUAGAUAUCAACUUAUGUACACGAACAACCGUUUUUAUGCAACGUGUAGUUGUGUACAGCUGUACACUAGCUAGCUACGUAGCUAGCCUUACAGUACGUGUACGUGUACAGCUGUACACGUACUCGUACUGUCGUGCUUUCAUCAGCCGUUUUCGUUUCGUUUCGUCAGUGGCUGUUUUCUUCGAUGCCAGCGGACCUCCACCUUCUUCUCGUCUCCCUCCUCCUCGCAUCGGUGACUUUGGCGUCAGACAUCGAAACGCGAAACGCUACUGCAUGCGCUCCAAGCCCUGUCGUGCACGCCACCUUGCUAUCCAACGCUGACGACGCCCCGUUCCUCAUCUCCCUUGGCAUCUUUGCCGUCGCCUCGUCUUCCUCCUCUCAUUCGUGUGGCGAGGACCCUAACGCUACAUACGCGAUCACAUCCUUACCAUCACAAGGUACACUACUCGACCAAAGGUCACUCGCCCCAAUCGCGUCUACUCCGUAUCUGCUUCGACGCGGCGACACGCGCGUAGGAUUCAAGCCAAAGUUCAGGGGAAGGGUACACAAAACGAGGCAUGUUGAUCCUCUGACGGACAAAACACCACUAUACGUGCAAUUGCGCUUCGCCGCUACAGCUUCGCUCCGUAACAAUGAUAUUGAAGCCGCCACCGCAUGGUCAAAGGGGCUGUCGAGCGACGAAGAGAACAGCGAUGGGCAUAUUGCAGAGGUGGAUAUACAGGUUGUUUUGCCUGAACUCAACCCUCUUGUUGUUGCUGCUCACACUGUCCGGGUUGCAACACUCGAAGAUGUUGCUAAAUCGGUAGUGUUGCAUGCGACGAUCAGCUCGUCCAAUGUCGCAUCAGUCGCGCCUGCGUACACACGCAAUCAUACUAAAUUUGGGAGAGUUGAUUGUGGCGGCAUUGAAACAAGUAGAGUUUUCGCGAGGAUAGAGACAACACCUGCCCAUGGUGUUCUGUACCGCGAUGGGGCCAGUCUUCAACCAGGUGAUGUCAUCCCCGCAAUAGUGACUAAUAUCUUUUGCGAUGGAAGAAUAGAUGGAGUUGAAGUUGAAGAAGGCAACUUGUCAUCUUCUGAUCGAUGGCUGUGCUCUUUGCGAGAAGAACAAAAAGAUGACGCGUUCUUGCCUCGAACUGCUGUAUGCACUGAGGUGUUGUAUGUCCCUGACAUUGACCAUCACAACUAUCCAGUAGCCGUUGCGUUCGGAAAUUCCGAACACGAAGUUUCAGUGGACACGUGGAAAUUCACUUUUGUGCUGAUAGGUAAAGACGGAGCAGAGUUCGCUGCAUCCAAUGUGUCAAGGGCGUUUGUGACGACAAAGGCGGCGAGAGACGCUCCGCUCCUGACACGGAAAAUUGACGGGAAGCAUGAAUUGGAGCUCGUGCGUGCGCCUUUCAUCAAAACGGUAAAGAUACCCGGGGUCGUGUUGACGGGCGUAGAUGGUGACGCUCUGGCGGUUCGCGUCAGGGUGAGCUCUGCAUUUGGAAACUAUUUGGUGAGUCUAGGACCAGAUUUCCACUUCUUGUCCUUGAACUCAUCUGACCUAGGUAUACCAACUUGUCUUUGCAGUCGUUUGUCGCUGCAGGAUUGGACGUGCUAGCGGCGUGCAGAACUCCUUUUACGCUUGGAGAUGGCAUUUUAGACCCAUCUUUCGUAGAGUUUGUUGCUGUUCCACGAGGCACGUCACUUGGACUUAAUAACAUUUUCUUAUCGUCUUGAACUGAUCUUUCCUUUUUGCAUCCUUCAGUGGCGGCAAUACUCCUUGCUAACCUAGAAUACAUUCACGUAAAUAAUACGAUGCCAAUAGCUUACAAUUUGUCCUCGGCCAGAGCACCUGCCGUUCUAGUUGACACGGUAUUGGUCACUAUCUCAGAUGGCUGGUGCUUUCACCGUGACGACAACGAUAUGAAUGGCUGCAUUUCUCACCCUACCGAAGCAAGACAUUAUCUUUCGCUCGCGAUAUCGGUUACGCCUCACGGAGAGAUGCACAAGACAAUACCGGCGCGUGUACUAAACUGCUGCGAAGAGUUCAUACGGCUGAGUACUGUUUGCUUUGGACUUGGGUCUUUGGCAGCCUUUGUCCUCACGGCUGCAUGGAGGUACUGUACCAUUUGCAGCAUAGGAUAGUAAAAGAUUGCCCAUGCAUGUGUACGAAUCUGCCUUCGAAGGUAGUAAAUGAUCUAGCCCUACACAUGCGCAAUAUUGCUCUAUUUCAGCUUGUGAUCAAUUGGUUUCCAGGCAAGCGUGUGCUCAAAACUCGUUCACGACACAUCUUAAAAAAGGAGAUACCAACCAGCGGCAAGCGAGCCAUGAUCCCAAGUCCUCACGUCAUCCACUAUUUUUAAGCCCUUAGUAACUUUCAGUACGAGUGCAACAAUUUUUAAGAGCAACAACGUCCAUUAAAGCCGCGGGUAACCUUUGACUCAUGCUUGAGAAACUAACCUCCCGCUACCGUUGAACUCAUCAGUCCGAUUCGUGCUUGCUAACUUCUUCGAACUCAUCCGAGGAGUAAUCGAAGUCGUCGACUGCAUCGUGCAUAUCCGGAUUCAAGUCUAAUUGUACAAACGGAACUUGGAUUCCCACCAAUUUCUUCAGUGGCUGCACCGGUCUGCCCCGUGAUGACCUCACCGCCGACGGAUGUGAAGAAGCGAACGACAUACAAGUGUGUUGGCCAGCUCUGCCGCAGUGUAAAUCGCCUACAACUUUAGCAAACGCAGUGAUUGGAUCGCCGGGAUUCCAUCCAGGUGGCGGCGCCGGCACUCCUGCAGGCCAUGCAUCACCGGGCUUCCACUUCGAGAGCAGCUUCAAUGUCUGCCCCGACAUAGGGGUUACCUCUGCUGCUUCCGCGUUUAAAGAUACCGCCGCACUCGCGCUUGCCCACGCAUUCGCGGCCUUCAACUCCAAUCCAGAUCCGCUCAAACUACUCGCGUUUAAGAGUUCCUCCUGCGGCGCGGGUGGUUUGAUGCCAGACAAACUCUGCCCAAGUCUAUAACCGUUCUGUGCAUAGGUCGUGUAGCCAAUGCAUCGCGCGUAACCGACAACAACAGCUGCGGAGGACCGCCGGGGAAGUCCCACGUGAUCGGUAUCGAAGGCUAUCGCAGCGUCAACGCUUGAUUGGAGAUUUGAGGAUGCGUUCCUUAGGUCCAUGGCAUACGCCACGACGUUAUGCUCCGACGGCAUCGAUGUCGGACGCGUGCUUUGAAGGCGAGCGCACGCUACAAGAUUCCCUUCCCUACAACGCUGUACGGAAGUACUGUACACGUACAGUAGGGCUACACGUAGGGCCACACGUAACGCGCGUUGUUCAACCGGUUAUGUAUUCAUAUCAACUUAUCAUACGAAGAUGAGUGGAAGAUGUAGAUAAUAGUCGUACACGUAGCCCUGCCUACUUCCGGACGUACGGACGUACGAAAGUACUUCCGUACCUUCGAAGAUAAGUGUACGGCUCUACAGCAGUACGGAUAGAUGGAAGUACACAUACAUCUACGUGUACACAUAGACAACUUUGUCUUCCUACGAAGGUACUUUCGUACUCCGGAAGUAGGUAAUAUUAGGGCUACAGCAGUAGGGCCCUGUUGUAUCUCCGGAAAUAUUUCCGGAAGUAUGAUACUUCCGUGCGUACCUUCGAAGGUAGGGCUAGGGCACUGCUAGGGCUACAGUUUACUUCCACGGAAGGACUUCCGUACACGUACAGUACCGAAGGUACAACGUUGUACGGAGGUACUUCCGGAAAAUGGAUAAUACUUCCGGAAGCACGUCCUGCAAGUACACGUGGGCCCUACGGAAAUACUUCGGAAAUACUUAAGUAAUAAGUUACAACUUAGCCUCGGCGCGAAGUACGUGGCCCUAGUAAUGUUAUAGCAGAUAGACAUAACGCUGCAAUGUACUUCCGGAAGUACUUCCGUACAGAAGUACUUUCGUAAUACGCACGAAGUUAUACCUUCGAAGGUACCUUCGUACUUCCUAUCAUACCUUCGUAUUCGUAGGGCCAUUUUUUUAUUAGGGCCUACAUGUAUACCUUCGUAUAAACGUAAAACGAUAAACGGUUGUACACGUAGGUACACGUAUAAAGUUGUUUACCUCCGCUUUUUUUAUUAUCACACACGUGGCAGUUAAGCCACCUUCAAUGUCUACAACGUUGUAGUAGUGUACAAUAAGUACGCACACGCACGUAUGUAGACUAGGUAGCUAGCUAGAUAUCUUUAUUUGUAAUGUCUAUCUGGCUACGAAGGCACGUACUUUCGAAAGUACUUUCGUACUUUAUUUGUACUUAAUUACGUUACGAAUGAAGGUGUUUCCGGAAGUACCACGCACGUGUGCUUGUACUGUACGUGUAGCCCUACGUGUACAGUAGCAAUAAAGAAAAUUGAGGGUAAAAAAAAGUAAAACCGUUUACCAUAAACGUACAGUACUUUAUCAUUAAAUCGACACUAUUUUUACCGGGGUCGUCCUGUUUCUAGCGUCAACGUUCCGCAUAGCUACAGGCGGCGAUAUAUCGUACGAGGGAUGUCACACAUCGGCGAUCCAUUUUUUGUUCAAACUAGAAUUCAAAUUCGAGAGGUGUUUUUUCUUUGUGUGUGUUUUCUCUCUCGGCUGAGUGUGUCUCUGCAGAGAGGACGAUGUCACUUGCGAAAAUCCCUUAAAGGCCCAGUUCUACAGAAAAUCAGGUUUCUCGCGUUCUUUUCAAUUCAUGACAUCCAUGUGGACCCUAAUUCAUUUUUUUCCUCUAGAACUCUUUUCAUUGAUACGCCACAGCCACCAAACGCUUCGAAAACCGCGCUUGUGGGUGACUUUCUAAAUCCCAAUCAUUUGUACGCUUUUUGUGUGCACCUUGCCCACUGUCACUUACACGCAUACGGUUCUUCAUAUCCAGGACACAAAAGUUAGAGUAUACUGCACUUUCUCUCAAAAAGUUUCAAGGGGACUUGCUCUGCAAUUUCUAAACAUAGUUGAUAUCACAGUGUCACACGUACUUGAUUAUUGCAUUUUUACCAUAAUUUUUUAUGAGAUGUCUGUUUUCAGGCUUUCAAGUGCCGCAGAUCACACGCUCUUUUAACUUGUCUAUGUCUGGUAUUUGCAAUUACAUCUUUAACGUAUUUAUUGAAUGUCAUGACUCUGUUAUUCAGGGAUUAUUUCAGCCGUCAAAUAUUCCACCUGAGAAGAGGAACAGCUAUUCUUGCAUGAUGCUGCAUUGAUGACUUACUCUUCAGUUUCAAACAGGCUGGUUGAGUAUCUUAAAGCUUCUUUCGAGAAAAGUCUUAUGAUAAGAAAAAAAUUCCACUCUAUCCACGGUAUCAUUUAUCAUUUUUCAUCUUAAGAAAAAUCUUUAGCAGAUGGAAUCAACCACAGGGCUGCUACUGAGUUGCAGUUACCCUGUGCUGCCGAUGCGACUUGAGCACUAUGUCGAGGACAACGAUCAAAGAGUACUUGUCUCAUAAUUUUCGCUAUCUAUUUGGACUAAAACUCUUCAUCAGGUCUGCAGCAGUGAUUUCAUGCUCUGUAACUGUCGUGCACGCGAGUAUAAAGGACAAAAAGAAGUUCGCGGCCAGUUUGACCCAAAACCACACCUUGCUGCUCGACAAACUCUGAAGACGAGACGGUUAUUUUCAAAAGAGGUGAACGAACUACAAAUUUACCCAAAGAUUUCACUUUCCUCACACAAGAUUUAUAUAAUUUCUCUUAGAUUCAGGUCAGAAAGCCAUGGUUUUUGCUUGAUGGCUCAACACUUCGAAUGCCUUCUUUCUGUCACUUUGUAGGUGUUAUGCGUCAAGUGUUAGUGGACCUGCCUAAUGUGUUCUGCUACAGGAAGUUGGAAGCAUAUGGAUUUCCCUGUGAUACCUAAAAUAGUGUUCUUGGGAAUUUUGGAUGAUUAUGUUUGAUUAAAUACCUUCGAAGGUAAAUGAUUAGACUAUGUUGAUUAAAUAAACAGCGUGGUCGUAAACAGCGUGGUCGGCACUCGCGGUACCAAAAUACUCAAGGUAAGCAUGAAGGACGAUCCAAAUAGGCGAGACAGCUGAGGUCAAUUGCUCUCGAAAACUGAAACGCAGCCACCGAUCAGUUUAUUAACUACUGAAUGAUCUGCAUGAGAACAAGUUGUGUGUUCUCUGAAUGAUGACGUCGUCGCGUUUAGUGGACGUUUUCUUGCUCCUAAAAAAUAUAUAUAUAUAUAUAUAUAUAUUUGUUAUACCCUCAAGGACACUUCUUUCAAGAAUCAGAGAACUUACGUGCAAAGUCUGAAUAUACAUUAAAAUAUUGCAUUUCUCCAUGAGUUCGGAGUGUCUGAAUAGAUUCGAGUCGAGCCUCAUAAGAAUAAUAAGAAGAAGAGCAUUUUUGAAGUAACGCACUGUGUUAGCACCUCCCAGAAUACCACCGUAGCUGAAAAGGUCGCGCUUAAAGAGAGUAAUGUUUAAGUGGCAUGAAAUGCAUCAACUUACCUACAGGCAUUCAGCGAGCGCAGAGAAGUGAGACAACCUUCCUGCUUCAAAUCCAUUAUAUUCAGGAAAUGAUGAUGUAGCAGAACUUACUUCGUGGUGACCAAGUUCACGAGCAGUGCAGGAAAACCAAAGAUCUUCUGUAACUGAUGCCAAGUUCUCAAAAUCAUAAUGCCUGCUAGAUACAAGUUCACAAGACAUCUUCUUCCUUUUUCGUCGAUCAUAGCAAGCCUGCAUUCAGAGUUCGACAACGAAAUUAUUUUGAACAGAGAAUUGAAGAUUUACACUUUUAACUACCUUCAGCUCUCCUGUCAAGUUCUUGGAGAGUUUCUGAUCAGAAAUUGUACCACCGGCCUAAAAAAAGAACAUAUAUGUAUAAGAACGGAAAGAUCUGCCAAGAAAUACUUAUGUUCACCCUCCGAUAAUACUUGGAGUGAGUGUGUAAGGUGUGCUCAUCUGGAAACGACGGCAAGUAUUUUGGGUAGUGUGGAAAGCUAGAGUGCCCAAGUUCACGGAACGCAGGUGCUCGCUGUAAGAGUAUUGAUCAGGUAAAAUAGGAAUAACAUGGAGAACGCUGUUAGAAGCAGUAUAUAAGUCGUGAAAAGCGCGACACCUUGGGCAGUCUGCUCACACGCAGACGUUGUGGUAUGGUCUGUGUAAAUGGAACUGCAUGGGAACCUGUACUUCGAAUCAACCGCUCGAAAGUGCAACCGAGACCAACAAGCGCAAAAAGUACAUCGCAAACAUCUACAGUAGCUCUGCCCUAUUAUUAGAGACCCGAGAGUAUGCAGCUACGAGUUUAAAAAAAAGGUUCAGGUAAACAAAACCGAACAACUUAAACGAGGACGGCCCAACCCCGAUCUCGGCGUAUCGAUGUGCAGCAUAACCAAGUUCAAUAAGAUACCAAAAGCAAGGGAACGGACGGAAUUCAUGGCUAAAUACGAGAACAGCCUCAAACAUUCAGUUGAUUUGUUUCUCUUGCCUGGAGAGGAUCUCGGCGACAGCUUGAGUGGCUCCAAGAUCUACUGUCUCAUAAGAGCCGCAAAUCUGCAAGCGAAAAAAGUAGCGUGCUCACUUCACACUCCAGACAUAAGAUUCGAAACGCUACCUGCGCUACCACCUGAUGCUCGAUCUCUCGAAUGAAGGUGCUCAUCUAAGCAAAAAAAGUACACGAAGUUCCUUGCUCGAAAUCACUACUGUGUGUGUGUGUGUGUGUGUGUGUGUGUGUGUCUGUGUGUGUAUGUGUGUGUGUGUGUGUGUGUGUGUGUGUGUGUGUCUGUGUGUGUACAGUAUGUGUGUGGAGAUUUCAAAAAUAGGGCUCGUGCGGUCUAAAUAAUGCUCUUAUCCGCGAAUCGUGUACAGUACGUGCGUGUACGUGUACAGUGCACGUAGUGUAGGGCUGGGGCUACACGUAGACUUUCUCAAGCAGAACGGAGAGCUAUUUCGGGCCUUCGGAAAAAGCCUGCUGCCCUUGAUACGAAAGUACACUACAGUGUACACUAAGUUGUAAAAACAACUUACUGUAUGUAAUAAGUUUUGUGUACGUGUACCCCGAUUGAAGAACAUCUAGCUAGACUAUCGUCCGAAUACAACAUAAAAUCACUCCCACUUUCUUUUUAUAGAAGGAUCAACGGAUCACGGUGUUCAGAGCAAUUCUUGUCACUGUGGCGACGGCGUUUACGGGCACUCGGCGACGCCUGAAGCGCAGAACUUGCGCUAGGGAUUAGGUCCAGAGUCUCGAAUUUUACGUCGUAUGCAGUGGAACUUCGAAGGUACUUCCGGAAAUAAUACGCCGUACCUUAUUACUUCUUCGUUCGUACUUCCGGAAGUAUAGAACUGCACAACGUGCAGAAAUAGAUAGAAAGAAAUAGUGUCGUGUACACGUGUACAGUACUUGUACGUGUACACGUACGUACAUGUAGUCUUAAAUACGAAUAGACUAUUCUAUUUUUAUUUUUAUGUACGCAUGUAUGUACUUCCCGACGGAAGUACGAAAUAAUAAGUACUUUCAUACUAAGUACUUUCGUACUUCCGUACGAAAUAAAGCACAUCCGGAAAAAAAACGGUUUAUGUGUGUACGAAGGUAAGUUGCUAAACCCCAACAACUUAGCACUACAGUACGUAUGAUUGUAUUUUCGCAGAUAAACAUAGUACACGUACGUGUAGUCGUGUACGUGCACGGACGUGUAUUGUGACGUACGGAUGGAACGAAGUACCUUCGAAGGUACGAAAGCACUUCCGUAGAAGAUAUCGGAUACCUUCGAAGGUACGCUAUGUACCUUCGAAGGUACUUUCGUACACGACUACAUACGUACAUAGGCUAUGUACAACACUUGUACAACUACCUUCGUACGUACGUGUACAACAUAAUGAAGUCACAUUUAUGAUAGAUAUUCUAUCUUAUCAUACUUCGUACGAAGGUAGAAUACUGUACGUGUACAUGUACGUACAGUGUACAGCUGUACACGUAGUAUUAGGGGUCAGAACAACGUAGUAUCAAAAUCGCGUUUCAAGGCUCAAAUCGCAAGUUUCAAUCAUCGUGCACGCGCUCAUCGAUCAAUUUGAAGCCGGAUCAGCAUCUGGCACACCUCCGCCGGCUGGCGCAGCCGGGACGACGGCCGAAAGCGAACCAAGCCCCCGAAGAAGGACGCGCCCUCUCUAAACUCUCGUGGUAAGAUCCCCGCGCAAAAAAACAAGGCACGUUGCACUAUAAAAUCUCUCUCGCGAAGCCUCCGAACACGCGCGUCGCCAACGCUUGAAUCUGAAGCUGGCACUCGUCGGUUUUAUUUCGCGGGCCUGCAACUUUUUUCCGUCAGAUCUCACCUCGUCGACUUCGACGGAGACCCCAGGUCGAGGAAGACUCUUUCGCGCCAAACAAUGAUUGGUAACGUUGAUGUAAAUGACCACGAGAAGCGAGUUCGGUUGUUUUAUUGAGAUGCUUACACGAAAGAAUUCGAUGAACUCGGCGCUAACGCUCAUUCGCCGAGAUCUCGCGCGAUUCCACAGGUGUCCCCGCGAUGCCUCAGCGCGCUACUUCGCGGUCAGAUCACGUCAGAUUCUUGACGGUAACGAUGCCGCGUUCUUCUUUGCAAUCGCAUUCAUCACACGUUUUCGGUUUGCACCGCGAGUUUGGAGACUUGGUUCGUUGAAGGGCGUCGUCGCGUCGUCGCGGCGUCGCGGAGGCUGUCCGCGGCAGAACCUUCCGCGACGCCGGCAUGUGAACCACGGAUAUGAGACGAUUUGAAAGCGUAGACUUGAUCGAUCAGCGCGCGCGGACGAUGUUUUGAGCCUGAAACGCGAUUUUGAUACUACGCGACCUUGAUUCCGACCCUGAAAUCCCUGAUCCCAGAUACGUACACGUACGGAAGUUGUGUACGUGUACAGCUGUACACAUAACGCGUUGUACAGUAUCAUAGGUUCAACCCUUUAAGCUCCGUCAAUAUUCAGGGCUUAAAGGGCGUACUGUAGGCCAGUACAGCACGUGUACAGCUGUACAUGUACGUGUACGUGUACACGUGUACACGUACCUGUAGCCGGAUUUUCAGCAUAUGUUUUUGAAAUUUGGUUUUUGAAAGGACGCAAGUUGUCCUUUCUCUACAGGGUAAGUCAAGUCCACUUCAAGCCGCCCAAGCAGGCGAGGUGAUGAAUGGCGCUCACGUCGUUGACAUCUGCAAGUUGCGGAAUAUCACAUCCUCUCCCGCGGCGUCGUCUUCGUCUCCGCGACCUCAGUGCUUCAGCGCGUCUCCUAUGUCGAUGAGGCUGCGUCGGCUGGCGAAGUCGCUGCGGUCCUCGUGUGUCGCCGCGAUCACACCCGCUGCCGCCGCCCCCGCUAGUCGCAUUAAGGUGCAGAUAUCCUCGAGGGCAUCUUCCACUGCGCGAUCGAUAGCGCUGGUCGCGCCGUCUGUGCGAAGUCUCCGGGGGCUGAGCACGGUGUACUCGUCGUUGUCUAUCUUCCAGGGGAAGAAUCCCCAACGACACUUCUCGACCUCACCCGCUGCUACCGCGAGCGCUGUUGCAGCGGGGGGUGAAGAAAGAGAAGCAUCAAAUUCAUCCAACGACGCUUUCGUCGAAGAAAAGCGCGUGGCUAAAAUUGCGGCUGCGUUAGCAACCGGAAGUUCCUCCGAGUACGGCUCUGGGUCAAUCCAAGUAUUGAAAGGUACGACUGUUUGCAACUGUCUUCACUCCUACGCGACUUAGUCUAUCCUUCUUUCCAACCAGAGGAACUAAACCGAUGUCUUUUUUUUACGUUUUCAUUUGACCAUAUCGAGCGGACUCGAACCGGUCCGGAAACGACCCGGUAUGUACAUCGGGAACACGUCCACAAAGGGUUUACAUCACUUGGUGUGGGAGGUUUUAGACAACAGCGUUGACGAAAUCCAAGCUGGUCACGCCUCCGUGAUAACAGUCGUGCUCGAACCUGAUGGUUUCGUGAGUGUCGAGGAUGACGGCCGGGGCAUACCGACGGAUGUGCACCCUGCCACUGGAGUUUCAUCCCUCGAAACAGUGCUAACUGUGCUACACGCAGGUGGUAAGUUUGGUGGUGACGAGAGCGGGUACCACGUCAGCGGCGGGCUACACGGCGUCGGUAUAUCUGUCGUAAAUGCGCUUAGUGAGGUGCGGCUCCAUCCUGCUUGUCCAAUGGUUUCUACUCGCAUUUGAUCACCCAUGUGACACCUCUGUCAUUGAUGACUUUACCCAUCGUUCUUGACCCUUUCACGAGUUAUGCGAGGUCACAGUUUGGAAAGGAGGUAAGGUGUUCACACAGGCUUUUAGCCGAGGAUACGCAGUAGCAGAUAUGACGGAAAGCUUCGAACCGGGCGCGGAUGGGAAGAAUGGAACACGGGUGAGAUUCAAACCGGAUCAUCAAAUUUUCAAAGAAAAAGCCAGUUUUGACCCAAACAUAAUCAUCAGUCGCAUGAAGGAGCUAGCUUUUCUGAACAGCACAGCGACUCUGAAGUUUCGCAUCCCUGUCGAUGUGCAUAAGAAAAUGACCAGGAAGAAAGCGAACGUUAAGGAGGACAGUGUAAGUGACGGCAGACUCUCCAAGGACACCCUCGAUCACGAAGACACAGACAAAAAUACCUUUUUGUACGGGAGGGAUCCCUCCAGAUCAAUACCUGACUCAAAGGAACACGCGCACAUCAUUACAAAAGGUGGAAUAGAAUACGUAGAGGAGAUCUUGUCUUUUCCCGGCGGCCUAAAAGAUUAUGUUGUCGACUUAAACAUGGGAAGCGAGACGCUACAUGACCCUAUAACGUUCAGGUCAGAAGUCGAAGGUGUUCAAGUCGAAGGUGCAUUGCAGUGGACGAGAGAAGCAUUUACGGAUACAACUUUAGGUUAUGCGAAUUCCAUAAGAACGUCGGAUGGAGGGUCGCAUCUUGACGGUUUGAAAUUCGCACUCACGCGCACGGUGAAUGCCCAGGCGAGAAAAGCGAAACUCUUGAAGGAUGGCGAUUCAAACUUGGGAGGUGAGCACGUUAGAGAGGGAUUAUCUGCUGUUCUUGCUGUUUGGGUUCCGCAACCAGAAUUUGAAGGACAAACGAAAACUCGGCUAGGAAACCCGGAGGUAAGAAAAGUCGUUGAAGCGGUCAUAGGGGAACAAAUCGCAGAACAUCUAGAAUUUUACCCCAGCGUCUUGCAGAGUAUCUUCAAUAAGGCGCAGCAAGCAGCAAAAGCGGCAGAGGCAGCAAAACGAGCACGAGAACUCGUCAGACGCAAGUCCGUCUUGCGUUCCGGUUCUCUUCCUGGAAAGCUGUCCGACUGCAGCAAUAGUGAUCCAGAUAUUAGUGAAAUAUUUCUCGUCGAAGGGGACUCUGCGGGAGGCAGCGCGAAGCAAGGCCGGGAUCGGCGUUUCCAAGCUGUCUUGCCCCUUCGCGGUAAAAUACUUAACGUAGAACGGAAAGAUGAGUCAUCUAUGUACAAAAACACGGAGAUAUCGUCCAUGGUCACGGCGUUAGGUUUAGGGUUGAAAGGGGACGACUUCGACGAGUCCGCACUGAGGUAUUCCAAGAUUGUCAUCCUGACUGACGCGGAUGUUGAUGGUGCGCACAUUCGGACGUUACUUCUCACGUUUUUGUACCGCUACCAACGAGCUCUUUUCGAACGAGGCAAAGUAUUUGUUGCAGUUCCCCCGCUUUACAAGGUUGAACACACAGAUGGUAAAGGCGGGGGGAAGAGAUCGAUCACGUACUGUUAUGACGAAGUGCAGCUCGCGAAGUUGUUGAGCUCGCUCCCUGAUGAUACGAAACGGAGUAUCCAGCGGUUUAAAGGUUUAGGCGAGAUGAUGCCUGAGCAGCUCUGGAAUACAACGCUUAAUCCGGAAUCGCGACUGUUGAAGCGGUUGACCGUGGACGACGCGGCCGAGGUGAACCAGACAUUUCAGCUUCUGAUGUCGGAUAAAGUUGCCCCACGAAGGGCGUUUAUCGAAGAGGAAGGGCCGAAGCUGGAGGCCAUAGACGUUUGAAACGAGCAAGCGUGGAACAACAUACACGUACUUUAGGAGGUUCAUUCUGUACGUGUACAGCGUUGUAUGUUCGAAUCCCCCCGUUCUGCCCGAAUAUUUGGUUGCCGAGACCAGGGGCAUUUCGUCUGUGACGUCCUAUGAGCUUUUUGGCUUAUCUAUAGAUAUACGAAACGUCCUGUCUUGUUGAAGUACACGUGCAUAUUACAUAGUGUACAAUUUCCAUGUGUUGUUGGAAUCGAACUAAAAUUACACACAUAGCUAGCUAGCUAGUCUGUUAGGGCUACGUGUAAUGUCUACGAAGGUACCUUCGUAGUAUCUACCAGGUGGGAACAAACUACGAAGGUAACGCGAUAUUCUACAGUACACGUACGGCUAUUAUCUUCGAAGAUAGCUAUUUCCGGAAGUAUCUUCUGGGCCUACAUAAAAUGCUACCGAAGGUACGUACGAGCUACGUACGUAGCUACGUACGUACAUAUUCAUGUCAGUUCUACGUACAUAACGAAUGAAUGAAUAAUGCACUUCCGGUAGUACGAAGGUACUUCCGUACGACUACAUACGUAGCUACAUACAUAUAUAAAUAUUAUUACUUCCAUAAAGUAAUUCAGUAAGUUGUCAACUUACCUUCGAACAUAUGAUACGUAUACCUUCGUAUGUUAAUAUAAUAACUGUACUGCGGAGGUAAUAACUUAUAAUUAUUUAUUACCUUCGAAGGUACGUAGCUACGUACUAUCGUACUUCCGUACUUCCUUAUUACUUUUGUUCUUCUGUGCGUGUACCGGAAGUACUUAAUAGAUGUACCGAAGGUAUCAAUGUUUACCACCUCGAAGGUAUGAAUAGACUGUGCGUACACGUAGAAGUCACGUAGACAACUAGCUAGCUAACUUCGUUCGGUACGAAGGUGCGAAGGUAGUCAAGAGACAUACAGCCAUACACGUACUGUAUUUUUUCGUACUUCCGUAUUUCAGUACACGUACGUAUAGAAUACCUUCGAAGGUACUUUCGAAAGUACUUUCGAAAGUACUUUCCACAAGGUGCCAACGAAUACUCUAGCUACUACGUAGCUACCUAGCUAGGAAGUACCAGCCGUAUCUUACUCGCUGUACGAGGCUAUCUACUACAACUUUGUAGUUUCUAGCCGUGCUAGCUAGACCCUAGCUAUCUACGUCGGCGCCCUCUCGUACUUCCGAAAGUACGGAUACUACAACUAAUAUAAUAAUAAUAAUAUCUUCAUAAACUUUAUUUAUAUAUUUAUUUAUCAUAUUAUUAUUAUUUUAAUAAUUAUUGUAACCACUUUGAAAAAUGAGGGUAAAAAAAAGGUAAAAAGUUUACCCUGAUUUUACCCUGUAGACUUUACCAUGGUAAAAUCAACAUAAUUUUACCCUGAUUUUACCCUGAUUUUACCCUAUUAUUAUUUACCGUAUCUCUAGUGUUGAAAAUGUAUUGAAUUCCUUCUAUGCGCCGGGCUAUUCGCCCACCUAGCCGGCUUAUUUGACAACAUUUUAAUUCAGUUCACUGCAGUGCUGUUCAUCCAUGUGUUUUUCAUCGCCGUCUCCAUAAUGAAAGACACCUUUAUAUUGUACACUUCACAGUGGAUCUGAUCUCUCUGUCUCCGAACCAAGUCGACCCAACUCCACCGAUAUUUCUUCAGCCUCAGCCACCAUACCUAACUUCAGGUACUCGGAUAUGAGUAAGCGCAACUCUUCGGGUGUUGCGUUGUAUCUCUCCGCAGGAUCAAGACUUCGCUUACCUCGCUUUUCCAUAUGCAAUCUCCACUUAUCCGUUUUGGCACUGCGUAACUCGGGCGAUAGAUAGAACCCGUAUGCCUUGUCAUGAUCAGGUAACGCGGAAUAAGCCAAGUCUAUUUCACCUGAAUAAGCCAGGUCUAUUUCACCUGAGUCUGUAACAAGGACAUAUGGCCCCUCGAAAACGUCAUGUACAGAGAGUUGAUCUGUACUGUUCUGGUCGACUAUCGCACAUCCAAGUGGGACCUUCAGCUUGACAUCUUUUAUUUUCUCUACCUUAGCAACUGCACCCCCUCCUUGUCUUAAAUACACCUGGGUAGCAGUCGUAAAAAUGUUAUUGAAUAGCCAGUACAAGGUAAGCCCUGCUGGAACAGUAAGUGAGAUAUAUCCUAUGAAGAGUGGCAGAAAGUUUAGAAGGAAGGAUUGCUGCUCCGUUUCAGCGGUAUUUGGAUCAUUUAAAUCCUUAACAGGCGAAAGGAUACUCAUGCUGACAUAUUGACUUGCCACAGUCAAUAUCGGUACAACAAGAUAAAGAGAAGCAUCGUGCCAUCCCAAGGGGGGCUGAUAGUUGUCGUCGAGGGGCAAAAGCCAAGCUAGAGAACGAUCGGGAGUCGGACCAGCUAGUGAAGGUAUAAAAAACCACGGCUCGUCAAACGAGCCGUCGAUGGAAGCGUUAUUGAAAGCCCUGUAUAGACCCCAAACAACUGGCAAAGUGAGCAGAAGUGGCCCACAACCGGCCAAAGGACUAACCUGGUUAUCCUCAUAAAGCCGAUUGAUCUCAAUGUUCAUCUGCUCCUGAUCAUCUCUAUACUUUUCCCGAACUGCGUUUACCUGUGGUUGCAGAUUUUGCAUAUUGAGUGCGCUCUCAACUUGCACUUUCGUGAAAGGGUAAGUAAGCGCCUUAACAACAAAUGUCGUGAAGAUAAUAGAAGAACCCAGCGGAUAGCGGACACCAGCAUCAGAAAAAUACCGUUGCGUAGCAAGAACGAAUUCCUCCAACAGAUCUGAUACGGGGGAAAGUAUGCCCUCCAUACGUUGUGGACCUGUUAUCUCAGUCAGAGCAGAGAGUUCCGCAAAUAGCGUGGCGUGCGAGGAAUCGACGACAGUGGCGCCGACAGUGAAAGUGGACUCGGAAAGGUCGGCGAUUUGCUCGGACGCAAAUAUGGCUGCAGUGAUAACAUCAGGUACUAUGGUGAUGGAUUCACCGAUAUCAGUAGCAGAAAUAGCACCACAACUUGCAUCAAAGGAACGCGGACGUGUUCGGCGAGAAAGUAGUGAAGUAUCACGCCGCGGGCAACCUGUUUGUCGGCCACAACGGUAGAGCCCGCGUGCACCACGGCAAACCAAACUUCCCGAACUGCAACCCUGGCUUGUCAUCAAAAACGAGCGAGGGUGUUUCAGCGCAGCGCGAUUGAUCUUCACGUCCUUAGCGAUUUUCAAGUUGGUAAGGACGGAGCAGUCCCUGCAUCUGAAGUGUGUUCUGAACGUAUCACUGGGCAGUUUCUAUAAACUUUCUAUAUGCAGUUCGCGGGUCGCCCUAUGGAAAGUGGCGGGAGGGUCCAAAAUGGACCCUCCGCCAGUUUCAAAUUAGUCGUGUAAAAAAACGUUGAAAGCGCGUCCUCCCGGUGGGGAAAUUUUCAUCGCAUUUUCAUCGGUGAUUAUUUUUCAUCAAGGCUGACUAUAGAUUCACGAUCAAGGGGCAAUGAUUUCGAAAGGCAAAUAUCCCACGCGCGCGCGCUUGACUCAGGCUUUUAUUUUUUAUGAUCACCAUACAUAGCAAAUACGAAGGUACUUUCGUACCUUGGUACUGUACCUUAUUACUUCCUAGCCCUAAGAGUGCCCUGAGUAUUCUCUGAGAAUUAUAAAAGUACGGAAGUACGAAAGUACUUCCGGAAGUACGAAAGUACACGUGCGUACUUCCGUACGUCGGAAGUACUUUCGAAAGUACUUUCGAAAGUACUUUCGUACGAAAGUACUUCCGUAUUAUCUUCGUACAAUAUAAAUGUUGUACGAACUCACACAUGUAACUCGUUGUACGUGGUGCAUAUGUUGCUAUGUACUCAAUCAUGUACGGAAGUAUCUAUUUCCGUACAAAUGAAUGAAGGUAGAAGGUACACUAUGAUAUUUCCGUACCUUCGAAGAUAUUCUAUUUUCAUACUGCACGCUUUACGAAAUAAAGUACGGAAGUACUUCCGUAGCCCUAGCUAACUACGAAGGUUGUACCUUCGUAAGAAAUACUUUAUUUAUUUCCGGUCGGUGCUUUCCUCAAGUACAACUUACGUUUUACUCGUACGAAGAUACUUUCGUAUUUUAAUAAACAACUUUACUGUACGUGUAUUACCUUCGUACGAAAAUAUUUUACAAGAUAGAUAGAAUACUGUACACGUGCGUAGUAUCUUCGUAGUUGUGUACGUACACGUAGUCAAAUACGCAUGCGUGUUUAUUGUUAUGCACGUAUGAGACAGAUAGAUAUACCUUCGAAGAUAGCUCAGACGGCCACCAUUGUUGUUCACGGAGAUUCUAAUGCUCACACACUGUAAGUGGAAUACAUAUGUUAAGUCAAUCAAGCGAACUUUUGACUUUGCCGUCACGAGAACGGCAUAUCAGGAUUCUGUCCAAUUUCAGACCUGAUUUAAUAUGCACGGCACGGAGAACAGGUUUUCGAGAUCUUCUCUCAAGGAGUGCUAAACUCGAGAAAUACCGACUCAUCGGUAGUGAAAGCGGCUCUGGUGUAGUCGACGUGCGCUUGGCUAACCGGUAUUUCUCAAAACUUUUCCGAGAAUAUUGUAUAGCAGAUAUGGCCAUGUUCAAGGAGAGAAAGAUCGGCCUCCGGUGGCGCUCUGAAACGGAAGUUUUGACAGGCAAAGGCCAGUUUUGUUGUGCGAACAGGUAUUGUAACAGUUGCAGCUGUCUUGAGAGCUAUGAGGUGCACUUUCAUUACAUGGAAGCCUGCGAUGUAAAAAAAGUACUCGUCAAGUUGCGGGUUUGCGAAAGUUGUGCCGUCAAGCUCAACUACGGGAGUACAACAGCUAAAAAUAAACGCAGGUUUCUCCAGACCAACCCACGAUUAUUGAUAGCUAGAAAGUUUCCCUCUGAUAGAAUCCGCAAUGAUAUCGAGUACAUACACGCCAAACACGAGGUAUUUUGUGACAACAACUGGAAUAUCAAAUACACUGGGUGCUCUGAGCAGGCGCACGAGUCCUUUUCGAUGUUGGACAAGUUGGACCAAGGCAAACCACAGAAAACUGUACUUGGGGAGUUUAAGUUCGUGAAAUAUCUCAAAGAAAUGUGUGUGUAGCUAUUUCGAGGACUGGUUGCUCAAAAUCACAUCUUCUUAUUUGGACAGAAGAUACGCACGAAGGUGAUGUAAAUUUGUCAGACACCUCACGAGACCAGAGGAGAACAUCACGUGAAAAGAAAACAUUUUUUAAGAAACAACAGACACAUGUGGGUCUCGUCGCGUCCCGGUGCACCGGGCACUUUUUUCGGACCGGAACGAAAAUCUUAGACCGUCGUUUAUGAGUCAUAUUUUCCGAUGUUAAUUUCUCCGAUCGAAAAUUUGAUCGAUGAGAAUUUGAAAGCGGCUCGAUGAACUUUUGAAAGCAACCAUCUCCGAUCAAAUAUAUGGAGAAUUUGACUCAAAAAGCACGGUUUAAAAGUUUCGUUUCAGUCCGAAAAAAGUGCCCGGUGCACCGGGACGAGACGAGACUAACAGGAAACAGUGGACAAGUGCGAAUUUUGAAUUGAACACGUCUUUGGCUGAAAUAUAGUAAACCAUGCGAUCGACGUUCAAAAGUUACUGCUUGAUUUCUGAUCCAAGCGUGUGACACCGAUAGUGAAAUAUAUGCCGGGAAUCACACUAAGACGUCUACAAGUGAUGCUCGAAGGUUCGUCACCAGAGCACUUGACUGGGCGCUUUUCAAUUUGAAGAUGUUUUCGACCACCUGAUAGUAGAAGUGAGUAUUACAAAGAAUCUGAAUCGUAGUAAAACAUCACCUGUAACUCAGUUGAAGUAGUAUCUAAACCACAAAAGGCUGUCCAAUCAUUAGCAAAAAGCCCCGCAGAUAUUACGUCACUGCCUCGAUUAACUGUUCCUGCCACAAGGGGGACCUAUGUAGAAAACACUUCACGUCAAGCAAACCCUUUUUUUCAAGCGGUUGUUUUACCUGCAAGAGUGCAGAGAGCUCGUCUAGAUCUUCAAUUUUCGUGUGUGGAUGAACAAUACCACCCUGGUUCGAAAAUGCACAGUAGCUUCCAACUAAUAUGUUUCCUGCUAUUGUCUGCAAGAGAUAUUGUAAAAUAAGAAGGACAGGAAAAACAGGAAAAAGGCAGCACCUGCCGAAAAACUUCGACGCCAAGGACAUCAGAUACGAUUUCUUCCGUUUCUUCGUCCAAAUCAGGAUGUAUGAGAGCAACAUAAUCGUUGCAUGCUAUGCAAUUACCGAGAGCUGCAUAACAUAAAUUGAACAAAUAUUGAAGCCGUAUGGAAAGCAAAGAAAAGAAGAUACCAGAAAGUCUUUCAUCAACACGUUGAACUAGCACUUCAUCAGGAAGAGAAUUUCUAAUAUGCAGAGCCUCUGAAAAAUACGUGCAUGAAGUGCAUGAUAUAUACGUGCGGAAAUCCGAGUUAAAAUUUGACUUUUGACCUUGAUCGGUAGUUGAAUUUGGCAGGAGCACUCCAUUUUUAUUUCCUUGGACCUUUAAGAUGACUAGUCUUUCACUUUGAUUGAUGCAAUGAACUGCUUACCUACUGUCAUCCUACCAACAAGUCUAGUUCCGGCGAUACUAGUCUUCACGACUGGUAUAUCGUUUGAUAGCUCAUUUUGAAACACGCUGAGGUGAAUUAUGUCACGUUUUCGAGAAAAAAAUGCGAAAGUGUUUCGGAGUUUACCUGUAGAAGUUCUCAGAACCACCGACAGCCGUUAAACAGUACGCGUUUGUCAAGUUUGCGAACACCCCGAUAUCAUUGCUGAGUUUAAAGAAGUCAAAGUUGCACGGAAUGAAACGAUGCAAAACUGCUCGAGUGACUGACAGACCAGACCUGUUCUCAUACUGAUGCCGAACUGCCAUUUCACCGCGAGUGGCCGGGGACAAGGGCGGUAAAAGAAGACUGGAUGACAGGAGAAACUAUGAAGAACACUACGGCGAUUCAGUGGCACGGAAUCAUCUUCGGAAUCUCAUAGUUCUUUUUUGAAUCACUUACCGUUCAGAGCUUAUGGAUGUCGUCGUCGGCCACUGAAGUUUCCGCAGCUUCUCACUUACGGGAGAAUAAAAAAACGAACAUAUUUGUACCUUCGUACAAGUUUUGUACGCGUACUGUACACGUACGUGUACAGUACGUGUACUUGUACAGCUGCAUAGUGCACAGCUGCACACGUACGUGAAAAAAACGCGUUGUAGUACACUCUCUUUCCGGAUGUACAACGCAUAGGGAUAGGGCUAUGGUAGCCCUAUUCACGUGGGCCUAUGACGGUCCUCUCAAUAGGGCUACAGUAGGGCUACCUAGAAAUAUAUCUAGAAAUAUGGUGACCGUAAAACAUGAAAGCCUGGGUUUUGAACUCAUAUCAACGUGGCCUGCGUGUACAAAUUUGUAAAUAAAUACGAAAAUAUUUUCGUACUUUCGUACGAAAGUACGGAAGUACACUUCCGUACUUCCGUACGUGACUAAUAACGAUGUGCAGCUGUACACGUACACGUACUGUACAACGUUGUACAGCACGCGUAAGGCGUAACGUUGUACGACUGUACACGUACUUUGUACUCAACGAAUAUUCUAGUUGCAGGGCUACAACUAACGUUGUAAGGAACGAAGUACUUCCGGAAGUAUUUCCGUACAUAUUACAGUACAGUAGUCGUACAGUACACGCACAGUACACGUUUGUAAACAGUUUUAUUGCCGAAAAAUGGUAAUAAAAAAUACUUCCGUACGAAGGUACAACAGUGGUACAACGUUGUACUGUACACUAGGGCUACUGUAUGAAUAAACUAUGUAGGGCUAUUCGUUGAACGUGCAGGCCCUAGCUCGCUAGCUAGAACAAUGCUAGAACGUCGUCAUACGUACACUACAACUACUCUAAAAAUUCUUCACCUUCGGCGAAUAAAAAAUAGGCUACGUGUGUUGUAGUUGUUCACUACAGUACGUGUACAACGUACGUGUACAACUACAUAAUACUCAACGUACAUCCGAAAAUACGUACGUAGAACUACGAAGGUACAUGUACUAUCGAAAGUACUGUACAGUACACGUACACGUUACUAUUUCCGGAAUCUUGUAGACUGCCUUCGUAUUAACCAUGAAAGUGGGCUAGCGUACUGUUUAGCUUGUACGAAAGUAGUACUUAUCCGGGACUACUGUUCCUAAUAGGCAGUCGCCUAUCGAGGAUACGUCGGUGAGUUCCUUGUGCGUGUUAUGUGUAUUGAAUAGUGAGCUGUCGGGUGAACCCCGGCAAUCUCUUAUCUCUAUCUAUAUUUGUAGUAACAACUUAGACUUGUGUACUGCACUACUGUCGCCUGUCAGAAGUACUACCGGAAGUACUUCCGUACUUAUAAAUAGUUCCUCACUGUACACAGCUACACACCCUCAAGGAUAACUAGCCCUACUGUACAUUGGUAUUGAAGAUAGAGAGAAAUCGGCUACGUGUACAGUACAAUGAAGAUAGAUAGAAAUGGGCUACAAACUGGCUACAUACAGUGCACGUGUACACGUACAGUACACGUACUGUAUUUCUAAUCUAUUUUUACAAUGCUACAACGUCGUAUGUAGGGCCUACUGUACAACGUUGUACAUGUACGACUACUAGCCCUAUGUACUUCCGGAAGUACGAAAGUACUUUCGUACUUAUUAUUCAUCAGUACGAAGGUAAGAUAACUUACGAAUGUAAUUACAUUCGAAAUUACGUACCUUCGUACUUCCGUACAAUAGACUAUCAUAGAAUUGCUACAGAUUGUACGUGUACGUGCCUUCGAAGGUGAAGGUUUGAAGGUGCCUUCGGUACUACAGUAAGCUACUUUAUGUACGUGUACGGAAGUACCGGAAAUAGUACACACAACCAUAAAAGACUUUAUUAUUUUGAAUAGUACCAGGCUAGUAGCUACCUUCGUAGCUAGUUAGCUACCAUCAAAGACCAAAAUUGAAUAGUAAGUACGAAAGUACGAAAGUACCAUACUGUAUAGAAAGACUAUUAAAACAAAAUUGUUCUCCAAGGUGAUGCAGUCACCAAGAAAAAUCUCAAGUAUUCCCCAGCUCUCUUGAAAAUCUUUAAUGAAAUCCUCGUCAAUAUAAUCAUCGGGUCUCCUAGGGCUAUGAUUAAGAAGAUGUGAGAUUAUACUUCUUCACCAAAAAGGGCUAUAAUACCACACUUUAUUAUUACCUAUCACAUAAUGUUUAAGCUAUCAUUUAACACUUUUCUGUACACGUGUAUAUAGUCGUCCGCGUGUCCAUCCAUCUCCUGCCCCGUCAUGGCAAUCGUCUCUUCACCAUUAUUCUUAAAGUGCUGAAAUCUAAUAUACAGUAAAAUGAUAAAUUUGAACGCAUCGACAUUUUAUCGACGUCAUUAUAAACAAAAUAUUGAAGUUCCAUUUCUAUCUCGAUGACAUUAACUUGUGAACGCAUUUCCCUCUAGCUAGUGAAUCGGCUUGUGCAGCCAUAAUAGCAUCUCCAUUUGCGUGAUUGUGUACGAGUAAGCCGUUUGUUUCUGGAUACUAAGACCAGUACGUAGAGGACUACCUUAACUUCUAAAUGUGCACUGGGUUGUGUAUGACCGAUAUCGGCUUAUUAAUAUAAAGGGGCGCACGUGUACCUUCGAAGGUACAACUACAGUAUGUAUUAUGUACCUUCGUACGUAUCAUUUUUCAAUAGUGUACAAUAGCUGUACACGUACCGUAACGUGCGCGUUGUACGUGUACUGUACUCCGGAAAGCGACGAAGGUACAUAGCUACCCACGUACAGUCUUUUAUUGAAACAUCCGUACACCACACACUUCCAAAAGGUUGCCGCUCACCUAAGUCAGCGCGGCGAAGCCAUCUCCGUCUAGCCUGCUUGCUGAUGCACGCUUCGUCUAUUGUCGUUCCUGCUCACAUUCGCCAGAAUACACGCGCGGCGAAGAGAAACUCGGCGACUACACGAAGGUCGCAUUUUGUGGCCAUUUCUGAGAAUAUAGCCCCGGCUUCCGCGUUCCUUGGAUCUCGUCCGAUGAACCUCUCCGCUGGGCUCGGCUCCAAAAAAGCUGGUGCGGGCCCAAGGAGUGUAGCCACGAUGGGUCUGUUCGGACUCGGGCUUCCGGAGCUUGUCGUUAUUGGCGGCGUUGCGGCGGUGCUAUUCGGACCAAGCAAGCUUCCCGAGCUCGGUAAAAGCCUCGGAAAAACAGUGAAGAGCUUUCAGGCUGCCGCUAAUGUGCGUAGCAUCUGUAUCUCCCUUACGCGCGGCAUUCCGCGUGUCUUCUCGCAAUUAGCAUCUGUCCGCAUAUUCACUCCUUGGGAGGACACUCCAUUUUGAACCAACACAGGAGUUUCAAGACGAACUCAAGGAGAAAAAUGAAGAAAAGUUUUCGCCCAAGGCUCAACAAGAAAACGAUGACAAGGAAAACAUUUGAGAAGGGAUGGUGAAUUGAGGCGUGUCUAAGCUAUCCUAACGCAUAUAUGGAAAGCUAGCGACCAAACACGAUAUCAAAGGCUAAUCUCCUUUGUUCGCAAGUGCCUGUACUUUGUUCGCAAGUGCCUGUACUCUGCACUUUGCCUUCCGCGCUGCAACUGCAGGCCGUUUUCUACUCCGUGGUGUUGACUUCAUGGCUGUAUUCACAGCCCGAGAACUAGAGCCAUCACUUCUGUCUCCUAUGCACGGCUCGUCGCGUCGCUUACCCCUCGGCCGCGACCGCAGCCCUUCCCAGCCUACGACAGCUCCCACUGAGGUUCCCCUCUGUGUGACGCCUCCACAGAUACUCGGAGUUCUGGCUUCUCCCCGCGCACUCAGCGCAUUUGAGCUUUCAACACCGCAUCGUUUCUUUUUCGCUGGGGUAUGUACGGUCGUAUUCUUACCUGCUCGCACGAUACGUAUUUCACGCUCUCCUAUCUUCCCCCUGUCAAGCAACAAUCCCACACGUGAGUCUCCAGACCUUUUGAAAAGUACUAGCGCAAUUCCUUUACCCACGCUUGUCUUCCGAUCGCGCACGAUACGCACCGCCUCGAUCGAAUUCGAAAGUUCUGGAUACUCUUUGCUACGGUGGAAGAAACGGAUAAUUUCCUCCUCGUCAACUGCAUAUGGCAGGUUCCCGAGAAAUAAACACCGGGAGUGGUCAUACGCCAAGUCACUGCCGUGCCUGUUUCCCUUAGAAGUUGGUGGUGUUGCCCGGUCCACGCGUAUAUGACGACCGUUAAAUUCCUGCAUGUUCAACUCCGUCGCAGCCAUUACAGAACUUGCAUUCUUGAACACGAUGUAGGCAUUCGUACUUUUCCUUUCGGUGUGUAGUUUACCGGUGAUGAUCUUCCUGCCACGCGGCAUCUUACCUUCCAAAUCUACAGGUACAGAACGUAUACGGACAGAAACAACAGGGCCAAACUUUGAGAAGACAGACUUGAGCAGUUUUGGCUUAGUGGUCAAGGGGAGGUUUCCAACAAAUACGGUGCAAGAUAGCAACUCAUCAGGCGCUUGAUGUCGAGGCAACCCAGGUAGGGCAGUGUCCAAACUCGAGCUUGCGGCAAAAUUGGAGAGGUUGUUGGAAGCGAAGUCUUUCGAGCAUUUAUGGUCACAGCCAGAAGAACUGCCCGAUUUCACCUUCUCCACAGGGGCAGAUGGCAGGCCUUGUCGUUUGCCUCGACUAACAUGGUCAGUCAUGGUUUCGGCGGCGGCAACACAGUCUUUCAGUCGCCUACUGUCAGACUGCGGUUCAGAGCAGCCCUUUUUUCUUUUUUUGCUCAAUCCGUCGACCCGCGCGUUGAAGUCCCCCGCGUCUGAGACACCGUUAGGAAGAGAAAUAUUUAGGCUCGCGGUGGGUACUGUCUCAUGCUGUGCAGAUGCCAACGGUGGUUGUGUCAAGCUUUUCUUCUUCGCGCAAAUACUCGAGUGGUAAAAUAACUUGCUCCCAACUUUCUUUGUCGAGUCGAUGUCAAAAGAACUGUCCAUAUUUUGCGGCAGGCCCGAUUCAAAUGAAUCCCGUCGGAGUGUGGAAUGCCCGAGUCUGUAAAGGAGUGUCCUACCUAUGUCAGGGCCAGUCCGUCACUUUCACGAAAAACGGGUCGACAGCUGCACUGUGUUACCUUCGUACUUCCGGAAAUAGAUAGAUACUACGCAGGCCGGAGGUGUGACAUUAGCGGCAAAAACCCUUUGAUCGGCUCUUGCGAUGAAAAAUACCCUUUCAGCAUUUUUGAUCGGAAAGCCAACCGAUGGGGGGGGGUACUUGGAGGCCCUCACGUAGGUACGCUAUUUUGAGUGAGAACGAUCGUGCAGUUUGGUACUUUCGUACUUUCGUACGAAGGUAUUUUCCCAUCCAUAUGUACAACGUUGUACGUGUACGUGUACGUGUACACGUGUAGCCAAAAUUGUGAGCGUAGCCACAGGCACUCCCUUGUCGUCUCCAUUUUCGAAAGUACAAAGUACUUUCGUACGAAUGUACUUCCGGAAGUACAACGUGUACAGGACGACGCAGAGUAACUCCGUACUUCGAUUUGCGCUUUUACACUUGAGGUGUUCCCACCCUCCCAUGUAAGUUCUCGUGGAAUAGAAAAAGACAAACCCUCCUUGCUGAAGGAUGCGAAAAGGGAAAAGAAAAGUUAAUGGUGGUAUUAUUGCGUGCCACCAAGAACCUCAGCACGACCCUGGGUGGAAGCGGGUGCGACUCUAGUCACCAAGGGGCCGUUUCUUUCUCCAGAUAAUAACCAUCAAACCAAACUACGUGUAGAUUAUGCUGUCGAGUAACAUCUUGUUUUUUUCUUACAGUCGAUAGAGUGUGGAAUCUGGGAUCGCCCAGUUGACGCUCUUCCUGAUAUUUCAAAUUGGCCCACCUGGGGUACUCUGCGUGAGCAAAUACUUAUGCGAGCUGCGCAUGUGUGUACACCUACAUCUGUACAGCUAGCAUGCGACGCUCGGGUUGUUUUUUUUAGCCAAUUUUCGCGCUAUUUCGUCAUGAGCUCACCAGCGUUCUGAUUGAUUCGCUGAGUUAUUUUCUGCUUUUCAUAUUCCUGCUCAGAUUAAAGUAACACACACCUCUUCACUUGACAACGCCUUUGCGGCAGAGGUUUUAAAAAUGUCACCCCCUGACUUGAAGUUUAUUCAAUUUAGUGGCUGUCAUCGGCUUUCACAGUUCAUCAGCUCACCUGCAACGUGUUGUCCUGUUUUGCUGAGGGUGGAACUUUCCAGUUGUGCUUCCUUACAAUUUGUCCUCAUCCAGUCCUUGACCGUUCGUUUCAUCGAUCUGUCAUGUUGCCUGAAUCUUGUCAAAGUGCUCCUCCAGUGUAAAAACCUUGAAACUCUGAAGCUGGACAGCUGUUUUUCUCUGCAUACCCUCGGGAUCCGGUCAGAUACUCUGAGCGAGUUAGAUUUGUCUGCAUGCGGGAAAAUUUGCAGUAUGGAUUUACGGUGUCGAAAUCUUUGUGUUGACAACGUUCUCAUGAACGGUAGCUCUCAUCCGUCUCAAAGAGAUACGAAGCAAAAAAGCAUGGUUGCUGGAAUGAAGCUGAAGGAUUUGAUGCAGUUGAAACUUUAAAUGUAAUGUUUGGCACAGUCAGCAACAAUUUUGAAGACUUAAGUUACACUUCAGCAAAUUUCUGGUUGUUUGUUCACUUUUAUUGAAGCUUAAAGCGAAUCGAAAGAACAUCAGUCUCCAAGCGCUCGUCAUUGUUUACUCGUAACAAACGUCAUCAGUGCAUCCUCGAUACGUUUUUUGCGUUGCACAAUAGCGCCUCCCCGCGUGCUUUAUCGACUACUGCACAUUUGCUUGACUAGUUUGUGAACUUUAGGUAAAAAACGACAACCGCGCAGCUAGUUUUUUACCGCCCGCACGAGGGCGAGCAAGUUUCUACUGAAAGUAUUUUGAAUACCGGAAUCAUUCAAAGGCAGCACUACGUGUACGUGCACUGUGAUCUCUGCACACGUGCAGUAUUUUCUAAGGGGCGCACUACAUCCCAGACUGGGACUUGGAUUCCAACCUGGGAAUUAGUGUGCCCCGUUUUUUAAGGCUGUGAGAGGCUUAUAAAUCUUUGGCACAUGCAAUACAGAAGUACUUCGAAUGAUGCACAGCGCUUUACGGUCACAUUCGAUCUUGAAAUUCAAAUAGAAUGUGUCAUUGAAAGGAACGUUGAAGAAAUGAGAUUUUCGCUCGGUUUGAACACCGCAGGUUCUUGAGUGCUCGGCACGGUGGGUGCUGGGGCGCCUUGAUGUCAUGGAGAUAUAUAAAGUAUGUUAUGCCUAUUCUGCCUAGAAUUUUAGAUGCUUCCGUAGUUUAGUGGUCAUGACAAACGCCUUCCAAGCGUUAGACCCGAGUUCGAAUCUCGGCGGUUGCAUAUUUUUUCACACAUACACACUUUUUCACACGCACACAGUGUCGCCCUAUAGCGUGUAGCCCUGUGACUGAAAAAAUGACAGCACGAACGUUUUGUCUAUUUAAAAUGUCCGAUAUCCGAUCCAAUGAUGCUCGGGCAACAUCUAAAAAUACAAGGAACACGCCAAGUGUACACCCCAAGACGUAUCUUUCAGUGCACAGAUUUUUGAUAUUGCAGGGCUACCCAUAUUGCGGUCCCAAAGUUCUGAGAACUUCGUACCUUGACAGGCAACCGCACGUCUCUCCUUUCCAGUUGACAAUCCACAGUCUAGCACGACGCAUAUGAGCUCUAUACUUGCUCAAAACCUUCACGUACAAAAGAAAUCAUCAGAAGAAACUACAGCAACGCAGAGUAUACGUACUCUGCUCUCUCAGUGACUUCUGCAUACACUAUUUUAACGAACACGUGUUCUGACAAGAUUUCCAAACAGCAGAAAGUUCUUGUAUAAAUGAAAUACCUCGACAUGUAUUCAACCAAUCAUUGAUGUCGUCCUUACCGCAGUCUAGCAUGCGUUGUAAACUUGCUUCCUGAGCCGGAAUAAAAGUAUUCAGUCUGGAAAGCGGUUGUGAUGGAACGAAGUCAGCAUUCCAAGUGAACGUGUCAUCUUUAUCCAGACCUACACGCAAUGAAUGGACACAAAUGUUCGGAAGAUUGUUCGUGACACCCCCGUCAACACAUAUCAUUCCACGGUAGAAACAAAUACCAGGAUAGGUCCACGUAGGUAUGUAUUGUGCUGCUAUCACGGCGUCAAUAAGAUCUUGACGAGAGUCAAACUCAGAGAUAAUACGGUUGAACGGUGUGGGAAACAGCGAUGAAACCGAUAUAAAAAGACGACCAUUAACGAGUAAAUGUGCGUCUGGAGGCAAGGUAGAGUGUAGAAGAAAUCGACAAAACUGACCAACCCCUGUUACGUGGCUUAAAAAGGUCUCACGAUAUGAAUUGGCUAUGGCCGGAAUAUGCGCCCAAAUAUCAGCAGGGUGCACUCCACAAGCUGCGACUGUUGCAACGAGAGCGCCGACACUUGAGCCAGAGAAUCGCAUCGUCGACAUACCAUCUUUACCAAAUCUAUCGUACAAACCCCAGUAUACCCCAAGAUGAUACCAAGUUCGAAAACCCCCUCCGCACAUCUCAACACAACCAUAGUUGUCAAUGGCAAGGGGCGAGUUUCUCGGUUUCCACAACGGGGCUCGCGCCAUCUCCCAGAAACAUAUCCAUAAUGCAAGCCAAAAACAGACGAGGGCGCUUGUGGGCAGACCAAAUGACAUCCUGCUGAUCAAAAUCAGCACGGUCUGCUGUCCCGGUCGUUUCGCAGGGUUGUGUUUCGAGAAGAAAAAGGCGUGCAUGAAAGCGUUUGCGAGAUACAAACUUGAACACGCGAGAGUUAUUGUUAAUGAACAUGAAAGUUGCAUAGUUAUUUGCCUGACAAUAACGGGGUCUAUGUCGGCUCUACUGUAAUAUUCCGGUGCUGCUCCCGAGACCAAGCAUGUCAACGAACUUCCUUCAACGCUCCCGAAGAUUUAAAGAGGUAUUCGGAGAAAGUGUUUUCCAGAAUUUUUUACGGAGGCACAUGUACACAUAAGGUUAGUAUUGUGGAGUUAAAUAGAGUAAAGUGGCGUUAAAGGCCCCACACACUCGGGGGUCAAUUUAUUGUGUUUGUAGAGAACGGAAACAAGAUCCUCCGAAGAAUUAAUACACAAGAUUCAUGAUGAGUGAUACCUUCGUACAAUAAAAUGUAUUACAUACGCGUUGUACGUGCACAGCUGUACACGUACACGUGUACACUGUACACGGCUACACGCACACGUACACGUACGACGUUGUACAUAGAUACGAAAGUAAGUUGUUACUUUCGUACGAAAGUACUUUCGUACUUUCGUACGAAAGUACAUGUUUGCCCGGAUGGGUUAGAGCUCAUCAGUUUUUUUGUUUUAUCAGAUUAGCCCUACUGUACAGUAUCAUAUUAAUGUACGUGUACACGUCCUGUACGUGUACGUGUAGUCCAGUUUAUCCUUUUCAUACGACUAGUCUACUACAGGUAGCCCUACACGUGUAGUGGCUACCUGUAUCAGCGUCAGGAUAAUCCUGUACGAAGGUACAUGUACUGUCAGUAAGGAUAUAAAAGGAUGAGCGUGCGGUGUGCUGUAACAUCGCGCAGAAGCCGGUUUUGGCUCUGUAACUGCACGGCAUGUUAGAUGACAUCACCCUCGAGGUGCGCGGAUCGACCGCGUUCGUGUCUGAAUCGCAAGAGCAAAGCAUAGACUGGCGCGAUCGCGUCGAUUUGUAAAAGAGCAAUUUUCUUCGCAGCAACCGCCUCGACCCGCGGAGUUCAACUGCCGACGCAAGCGAUCGUGUUUUUUUUUUGCGCUGCGCGAAUUUUAAAUAUGCGCUAAUGUUUUCAAGCGAUAUAAUCAAGAAGUUUUUUUACGUUCGGAACUGUUUUCAUGAAGUUUCGACGUCGCGUACGCGAGCUCAGGAGACGGCAAAUGUUUCGUAACGCCGAGUCUGUUUUGCAAACGACGGAUCUGUGCGCCGGGACAGCCUGAUUCAGCGCCCCAUGUGUAUUUAACUCGCUUGACUGAUCGGUUACACUGUCUAGUCGAUGUUCGCUUUGACGCUCCGGACGCAGCCGCGGCGCGCGCCUCUCUGACUGUCCUCGCGCGGCGCGGCAGUUAAAUGGAUGAGCUCGUCCUUUUAAAAACGUACUACGUGUACGUGUACGCUCUGAUCAUUUUUUUCAUACGCUCUCACCUUUUAUUAUUGGCUACGUGUAGUACUGUACUGUAUCGCUGAUUGCAACUAGUCUACAUACGUAAGUCAUACGAAGGUACGUACAUACGAAGGUAUUACGAAAGUACUUUCGUACUUUCGUACGAAAGUACAGUACACAUAUUAUCAUAGUCUACCGCAGUACGGAAGUACUUCCGGAAGUGUCUAUCCUUCCUACUCUGUUCCGGAAGUGCCACUCGCUACACGUGCAGUACACUUACGUGUACGUGUAGUCUACAGUAUGCAAAAGUGUUUCUACGUGUACAUUUUCAUAUUAAAAAAGGCUAGAGCGAACGAAGUCGUUGUACAGUACACUAGUACGUAUCAUACUAAAGAAUAAAACAAAGAGAAGAAUCUCAAGAAGAUUCUCACGCCACGGGAAAAAGGGGUGUUCUCCCAAAAAAGUAUUUUACCUUCAACAAAGAAAGUCUUCCGAAUGUACACGUACGGAAAUACUUUGAAAGUCCGAAGGCACGGAAGUAUGAUACUUCGGAAAUAGAUAUCUUCGAAGGUUUCUAACUUUCUAUGGCCCUACGAGUAGCUAGCUAGCUACCUUCGAAGGUACUUUCGUACCAAGGUAGAUAGCUAGAUACCUUUUCGGUAUCUUCCAAGGUAUAUUUUCGUAGACUACACGUACGUGCGUGCAACUUUGUAGUACACAAUGAUAUGGCUAAAUAAAUACGAAAGAACGAAGGUAAUAUUAAUAAAGCGUUCCGUACACUACUACACGUACACGUACAACUACACGUACUGUACAGUACAUGCACUUUCUAGAAAUGACAUAUGAUAUCAUAUUCUAUCUUCGAAGGUACGUACUACUGUACACUACAUAUGUACAUACGUAGUUAGCUAGUUACGUACCUUCGAAGGUAAAUACGUACGUACCUUCGUACAUAGCAUGUACGAAGGUACGUGUACAGCUGUACACGUACAGAGUACAGUAUGUACGUGUAUCAGAGAACAUCACCUUCUGAAAACAAUGCGAGUACUGUGCACAACUUUUUGAAGAGGAUCGCGUUCGUUCAGUACCAUGAUCCCGUAAGCCGGACUCUCGGGAGCGAUCCCAUUCGCACCCAGUUGCAUUAUGUCUGUUUUUAAGACUUGUGAUUUCUGGUCGUCGACGUGCAAAGGCGACGAGAAAUUCGGCGUCGGUUCUUUGGCCGUCGGCAGUUAUGAUGACAAAUUGAUACUUGCAACAUGCAGUUUAUUCGGCGUCCUUCGCUUGUAUACUCCCAGUGAAAGUGAUUUCGCAGAUGGAGGACACGCUCUCGAGUUAAACUUGAAACUGCCAAUUCUAAAGAUUGAAUUCGGUAGGUUCGAGUUGGGAAAGGGAAAUAUUUCAGUGGUGGUUCUACACCCUCGAAAACUGAUGGUUUAUACACUAUGGCAGCGUAUGCCCUUAAGCAAGCAAUACGAACUUCACUUGAAUUUCGAAGCUGUGCUUGAUCAAGGAGGUAUCUUCCGAUUUCCAAAAAAAUAUACUUCAGAGCCCUCGUCUACUUAGUUUCUUUUCCUUUUCUCGGUGGACUCUAUCUUUAGCAUUGAACAUGGUGAUUGGACAGUUUGGGGGGUCUCACAAGGAUGUGAUUGGUGUGCAAUACUCAAGUGGGCAGCUGAGUGUCUAUGCAAAAGGGGUUACUGUUAUGAACUGCCUCUUAACAGAUUUCACGGUGUCUAGCCCAAUACUUUAUUUGCACGAAACUGACUCCUUUGUAACAGUGAGCGCUACAACAGAAUUGAAGUGUUACAAAUAUGGAGCACUUGUUACGGAGUCAGAAACGAUUUCGCAGGCAAGGGACAUGCCCGCUGAGUGGAGUGUCUGCUUAGGCGAGCCAGCACUGAAAAUUGUGGGCAUGGAUCACUUGUGUAACUACAAAAAGCUUGACACAAACGGAAAUAUUGUUUUCAACUCAGAGGAGAAUAUGACAAAUAUUCUGGUGCUUACAGAGUGCAGCAUAUUUGGAAUAUCGUUGAGCGGUACAAUAUGUUUUCAGAAAAAAAUAGAUUUUUUGCCUAUGACUUGUGCUGCACUGCCAGUUUUGGGCAGCAGUAGCUCUGAGAAAGGGAGGGCGUUCCUGGUGACAGGGUCUACAGGAAAUGUACAGUUAUAUAGCGGCAUGAAUUUGUUAUGGGCAGCAAGGCACAGCUUCUCUUUUAUCGCGCUCAGCAUUGCACCUAUUGGUGAUACUGGGAAUUGCAUGGUAGGUCUUGGUGACGAUGGAUACCUGAGCAUGAGCUACUUUGGAACAGAGCUCCCUGCGGACGUAGUCGCACCGGGCAAAGAUAUAGGAAAUGAUUUCGAGAAGAAGUGUUCAGAACAACUGAGGCGAAUACGAGAAAUUUCCGUGUCAAAUUGUGAAGCACAAAGAUAUUUACCUGAAGCUCUGCAGAUCAGAGCAAAAGUGCUUACUCAUGUAGAUAAUGGCACAGUACACGUGAACAUGGAGGCAAAGAUGGAGAGUCACACACGUUAUACAGGUCAACGACCCGAGUCUAGAUGCUAUGAGACUUUGACAAUGCAUAUCGUUUUGACAUGUACUGGGGUGGGGACAGGAGAUUUCCUCGAGGAUAUUCAAAUAUCGAUAUCCACUCCAGCAAAUGUUUUCUGCUGUCAGGAAAGUUUAAAUAUUCCCAUUUUGAGUUGUGGGGUUGACAACUCCACAGUCAUACCUAUUUCAUUGUAUGCGCUUCAAGGAGAAAGGCAACUCCCUGAAAACAAUGCAGUCUAUAUAAUUACAAGAUAUAAAGUUCAUGGAGAGUUACGCGCUGUCAGCUGCGAAGUAUAUGUGCCACUUGCAGUUUUCUGCUCGCUUAUCCCUCCUGCAAAAACUACGGGUCACAAGAUAACACUCAAUACCAAUCAUUCGCCACCACUAUUGUCUCUUCUUUUCGGAGACAUGCUGCAGGGUUUCACAGAUUCGGAGCACAUUAAUCCCGUUGAUAAUGUGCUGACUUUCCAAUAUACGAACGGGGCGCGAGUUAAUCUCAUACUAAGCAAAAAUGCUGGGAGAUUUCGCUUGCAGUCUUCUCAACUUGAGGCCAUGUGGCUGAUCCUCCGCGAGUUAAUUCAUCGCCUCCGCAAGCACUUCAAGAAAAAUAAGGUUGCGAAGGAGAACCUUGAAGUUUCGUUUCAAGAGGCACUGCCCCUACAAGACCUUUUUGAAAGUCUUGAUCAACAUUGCGCAGCAGUUUCACAAUACAAUAUAUUGCACCGGCAAUUUGUUUAUCGUUCGAAACAGUUACGCGCCUUGCAAAAGCGUGUACUAUUGCGAUUCAAAGACAAGAAUCCAGUAUCUCUGUCUCAACUUGAAAUCUUGUUAGAUGACACGGUUGCUCAGAUCAGCCAAGCUGUACACUUUUCGAAAACUCUGUCGAACGACUUAAAAAAUACUCAAAGCAGUCUUUCUGCAGCACUGCAGAUGUUGCUCAUGCUCAUGGAAUUUCGUUUCGGGAUCAAAUUCGACGGAGUACGCGUUCUUCGAAGCUACAUAUCCCCAUCUGUGCAGGACAUAUUCGAGCAGUGCUGGGAAGAGUUGGCAGAAGCGUCUGUAGCUGCCCUAAUAAGAAUUUUCCUCACAGGAAACAAGAAAGCAGGAAAUUUAGAUAUAGGUCAAAGUCAACCAUAUGAUGAAGUGCAUGAUACCAGCAAACUGAAAAAAUUAAUUUCAGCUGCGUGUGAACGGCUGGCACGUGGGUACGUUGUGCCCUUGGUCGUUGAGCGUUUAGGUAUUCCAUCUUUGCCAGAGUCCCACUAGACUGACUGUUUUUGCUGUGAAAUGAGUUGCUGCUUUUUAUCAAUGUUAGGAACGUAAUUUAUACCUGCGUAUUGGAUACAUUAUGAAGAGAACAAAAGCAGUGCAAUAUCAGCAUAUCAUUCGCAUAAAAUACCGUGCUUGCGUGGAUUUUUCUGUCCAAAUCCCAUCAUAUUAUCGCUGUGGCUGUCCUUCUGCAACACGUUUUACAAAGAUAGUCUCCUUUUGUAGAUCAUAAAACAAAACCACUUUACGCAGAACUUGCUGAAGCACGGAACAUUUAUCAAAAGUAUCAUUGUUUCAUCUGUUUUCCUGCUUCCUUACCAAAGAGAAAAUGUUUGUAAUUGAGAAUGAGCCGUGAUGCGUUACCUUUCAAAUCCGAGGGAGAAACGCCGUCCUUAAGACAUACUUUGAACUUUCCACUCUUACCAAAAGCACCCGCUAUAGUUCCUAUUUCUCCGCGACUAGUGAAAACUCGCAAGCCUUGAAAAAUCGUCAUGUCGGUCUCUUUUUUAAACAUUCCCUUACCAAUGACAGUUUUCACAUCAUGCACCCGAUCAACUGAACCAAAACGUUUUUUCAUUGUGAAGACUUUAAUGUGCUUCACUGAAGCUGGAUCCUCAACACUGGGGUGGAUAAUACGCCCAUGGAAAGCGAGGCGGCACGAAUUUUUGUGGAUAUCAGCGUCAAAACGCGAGGCUACAUACUUUGAUCCAGCAGGGCAGGUUACAGGGCGAUCAAAUCGAAGAAGUGCCCACGUGCUACAGGUCGAAGUGAUAACUCGAUGACAACGUUUGUCUUCUACUCUCAAUUCACAAAAGUGUUCAACCCCAGCAGUGCACGAAUUAUCCCCUGGAACACUAUCCAAGCAACUUGAAUAUUCAUAUUCAAGAUCUUCGUUGAAUGCAGAAAUAUUCGAUUCCCGAUUAAGUGAUAUGUCAACAUCAUUAGUACAGUCUGCUUGCAGUGGACUGUCGUCUUGGGACCCAAAAAGAAUUCCUUCUUCGCAGGACUUCGCUGAGGUGGCUAAAGAAGCUGGAUGACAUGGAGCUUUGAAGAAAACCGCUGUGGCCAUAACUGUUGUAUAUCCCACUGUCACAUGAUAUCUCAUCUUGGAAUGGACGAUGCCUUUGAAAAAUCUGAUCUUCUCAGCACUGACAACCGCGGCAAUAAAGCUGGGGACUGUACCUGGUGCUGCUACUAUACCUCUUUCAAACAACUUAGAGUCAAACUGCGUGAUACACAUACCAACUCUGUCUCCGACUGCACAAGUUUGCACAGGUCUCUUGAACACUUGCAAACUCCUCACCUUCUUUUGGAGCUUCAAGUGCGGCAAUUCGACAAUAUCACCGACUCGGCACUGCCCUUUCAAAACUGUUCCAGUCAGCACAGUGCCAUGCCCCUUAACUGGAAAACAGUGAUCUGCCGCAAGAAGAAAAUCACCUCCCUGGAGUCGUUUUUGCGCACUACUGACAAGUGCCAUGAGGUUGGCUACUAGAAUAUCGAUCCCUAAUGGAGAACCAUACACAUCCAUUUUAUCCGCACCACCAGGACACGCUGCGACUGGGACCAUCUUGCAGUCACCAAAUCUAGUCGUCUUAAUUGCUUUUGAAAGACGCUUCUGCAUGUUAGAAACAACCACUUCUCGCAAUUUGGAAGGAAUCACGUCAAUUUUGUUGAGCACGACAAUGAGAUUGUUUGCGGUGAGCUCCCCAACCACAAGGCACUCUGCAGUUUGAGUUUGGAUGCCUUUGUUCACAUCAAUUACCUACGGACAGACAUCAGGAAAAUUGUGUGAAAAAAAUGAUUCAUGAGAGAAACAAACAGGAACAAACAAAAUACGUGUAAAAUACGUCCAACCAGCAACAUUAUGUCGAUUAUGUGUGCACCACCGAGCACGGUCCUAAUAAGAGAGGCAUGACCUGGGCAGUCGACUAUUGUAAACUGGAUUUGAUCAUAAGGUAAGGUGAAGAGGCUCCCUUCAACUGGAGCCAUAAAGCUGGAAAAGCCAAGGUCAAUUGUUAUGCCUCGCUCGAUGCUCUGUGGAUGCUUGUCAAGAGAUGCGGUAGAGAAGUGCGUAGAGAUCGCUCGAGCUGUAAACGGCUGUCGUGAGAGAAAGUAAACGAGCAAGAAAUUUAGAAAAGGGUGAAACAACGCACCUAGACUUGUUUUACCACAGUCGACGUGACCCAUGAUACCAACAUUGACGUUCAAAGUGCGAACGUUCUCGCAGUGCACAUCCAUUCUAAUAUUGGUAACAGCAAUAAGGUUGCCCAGUAUCCUGGAGAAGAAAUUAUACACCUCUCUGUCAAACUGCACAGCUCGGAGGUUGAUUCUAGAAACUUUUUUUCCGAAAGUAUAUAUGACAAGUACGAAAGUACGAAAGUACGUGUACACGUGUAGACGUACAACGUGUCACGUAACGUUACGUGUGUGUACGUGCGUGUACGAAGGUAUUAUAUUGUAUUCUAUUGUAUCUGAUGAUUACAAAAAGACUGAUGAGCUAUUAUCCUACCCAUCCGUCACGUACGUGUACACGUACACGUACGUGUAACGUACGUGUACAAAUUUUAAUAAAAUAGUUUAUCCCCUGGUGUACACCGGUUACGUGUACAUGUACAGUACGUAUAAACGCGUUGUGCACGUAAGAUAAUAUUAAUAUCAAACAUACAGUACCACUACUACGUGUGCAGUACGUGUACAUGCCCUACACUAAAACAACUACUUUUAAUAAAUAAUAAAAAUACGGAAGUAAAACAAUAAUCAACUAGCUAGAAAUAUGAUACAGUACGUAGCUACGUACGUGUACUGUAUGAUAGUAGGCCCAAGUUGUUUAAUAAUAUCUUUUUUAUUGUACGGAAGUACGGAAGUACUUCCGAAGUACGGAACGAAGUACCGAAGAUAUGUAGUACGGAACGAAGUAUGGAAUUACGAAGUACUUCCGUACGAGUGUAACGUUGUACGUUGUACUGUACGUGUACACGUACGUGUAGGACUCGUGUAGGGCCCUACGGAAGUACGGAAGUAUUCGAUUUCCGGAAAUAGUACCUUCGCUUCGCAGCUAGUCUAGCUAGCUAGCUACCUUCGAAGGUAGCUAGAUAGUAGCUACCCUCCAAGGUAGACUACGUACAAAUAAACUAGUAAAAUAAUAAAUAUAAAGUACUUUCGUACGAAAGUACGAAAGUACUUCCGUACGUACUUUUAUAAUACGGAAGUACGUAGACUAUGUUUGAGAGAAGGUUUACCUUCUCACCAUCUAGGCACCUUUCCCGACCUAGGGACGAAAAUUUCAACCAAUCAAAUGCGUUUGGCGCUCCGUAUCCAAAACUCGGCCUCUGUUGGUCUGUUAGUCUGAAAUGAGUACGCGAAUUUCGUACUACGCGGAAACUGCACCUCGGGACGUGACGAUGAAGUCGUCCUGUACGGGAACUUUCGUACUCUUCAGACUAAAUACGCUCCCGGGCCCCUUCUCCCAACUACCGACGGCCGAAGCGCCGGAGGCGCUGAUAGUAUGUACGAAAGUACCGGUUAUGUAGACUAGCUACGUACGUACGGAAGUAGUUUCGAAAGUAUGAUACUUUCGAAAGUAUAAUUAUGAUACAGUACCUACUUACAUAAUACUUCGUUCCGUAAUAUUUUCGGAAUAACUUGAACACGUACACGUACACGUACGUGUACAGUAAAUUGAGGCCGGGAGUGGCGAAAAAACGGCUAAGUUGUUAGUGAGAGUUUCAUAUCCUGAGAUUGGGCCGGAUACGCGCGUAGCGCUUAGAGAGGGGGGCCGUAAAAGAGCUCCAGGACAAAUCCAAGUCGUUUUUUUUGUCAAAAGUAAACUUCCCUACUUAUCGAUAUUUCCCUAGCUCGAAGCAGCUACGUUCACCAAACAUAAUCUUUCGACGAGAACUCGCUGGUAUAACCGACUGCUAUUCUCCUGUGAUAGUGACGGAGCAAGUCAUCCACAAACAGUCAAACCGAUCGAAAGUAUGAAAAUUGUAAGGAACUCGCUAAAUAAGAAACCAAAAGCCUGGAUGGUAAUCAUAGGUGCAAAGGUCGCCCAUAGCAUCAGGUGAUGACGCUCCACUGCGACAAAUAUACUGCCGGACAGGAUACCAAUAGCGCGCAGCAGACCGUACCUGAGUGCUAAUCGAGCAAGUGCUUUGCGGAAAGAAAUGUGGAAAGUGGAUAUUUUUUCACGGGACUGAGCUAAGAGAAGAGCAGCUGCAACAGGGAGGAAAAAGGCAGCAACGAUAUCAGACGACCAAGUGUUCACUGCGAGAAUAGUAGCCAUCAAGAUUAGGUUGAACUCCGUGAAUCCAGUAAAAGCACGAUCAAAGUGCAGUCCAUCAAAUGCAUUCCUGUGACCACUUGCAGCAAAAAGCUGCAUAUUCAGUACGAGGAGAAAACAUGUAAGAGUAAGUUCUCUUGGUAUGUCUGUAGAGCUGAAGACCGGAAUGUCACUUCGGAGGGCGAGCGACAAAAACGCAAACUCAGUGAGAGCAAGAAAACUCCAAAUGAAUCCUUGGUCACCAGAAAUCAUGAUCAACGCAGGAACCAAGGUAACUAAAGUGCUGUUUGACACGCCAAAAACCGCAGCAUUCACAGAACGUGCACGAAAAGCUGUUAUCAAUGUGAACGAAAAUAACACAAACGAGGCCAUGUAGACAAACUUGAAUGGAAACGUUGUACCCGCCAAACUAAGAAGACCGUAGGCAUUGCUCGACAGCAAUCCAAAAGCAUUUUGUAGUGCCUUUCCAAGAAAAAGGUAUUUUACGCCGACAGCUGUUAAACUAUUCGCAAUGAUAAAUCGAAAUAUCCCUCGAUAUAUCGGACCUAUUGCACAGUGUAUAACAAAUGGCAGCAGUGCUAGCGGUGCUAAAACGCAUGCUAUGGCGAGACUGCCGUGUGGAUAUACAUACGCUGAAAUUCUGUUCAGCUCGAUCUGGGACUGCUUGCCAGCAACGUUAUGUACACUUUUAGCCCACGAGGCACACAAAUUGCGAGAAGUGAAGUUACAAAGCAUUAGCCCUGUUGCAGCUACUGCUCCUCCGAAUCUGCCGGAUCUGGUGUAGCACAGUAGCCCUGCAGAAGAGCAGGAUUUAACCGUGAGAAGAAACACAAAUGAAGCAAAAAAGAAGUGGGCGACGUCAGCUUCUGCAUCUAUAAAACUAUUUGAGAAUUUGCUACAUAAACCUAAGGCCAUCAGCAAAGACGUUGAUAAAGGUUCCAACGAACGCAUUCGACGAAGUUCAUCCUGAUCGAGAAUAUCAAGAGAAUUGGUGAAAGAUACUAUCUUUUUUAUGCACCUUCUUCCAACGAGGUCUGACGAAGGUGACAGAAAGUUGGAGCGGUAUAUGCGCAAAGCGAGAGACUGGACAGAUAUGGAUAAGGCAAGCAAUGUUAUGCCAAAAACAAUGUUCACCAGUCUGAAAUGUAUCCAUCGUCCUCGAGCAAUUUUAGCUGCAGUGUGCAUGAAAUUCAUAAGGUGCUUUGUCGCAACACGUGAUGAGAUAUUUUCUUUAUUGGCAGAGUCAUAUAAAUCUGAAAGCAGUGACCAGUCUGCAAUGCUAAAAUGAUUGGAAGUUGCCCCGGCAUAGUGAUGCAGGUAACGCCAAACCUGAGCAGAUGUCACUUUUAAGACAUGAUAAUACUGCUCUUCUAUCCUCUCUGAGACAUUCGUGAAACCCAUGGUAGCGCAAGAUUUACUAUCAGAAAGACUAUUCAUUGGGUUUGCAUUUGCAAUUUCCCAAAAACGCCUUGGAACAUAGCCAACACUACCAAAUGGUAUGGGCAAUCCAAAAAUUAGAGCAAUGGUCGGAGCGAAAUUAACUUGAGGCAUGGAUUCAUAUUCCUCUUGAAAAGUGCGCCGAGGUGAAAACAGUUCACUGUGGUCUAUCCAGCCCCCGACAUCAGCAUUUGCCCAGGGGUGAAGCACAAGAACAAAAGAGUCUGUUUCCUCUGCAGUGCAUCCACCGUGGUCCCCAUUUUUUGUCAUACCAUGAUCUCCCAUUACAAUUAACAGCGUGCUGUUAAAAGAUUGAUCUGCUUUCAUAGCAGCAAUCAUGGUCCGGAUAUCAGCGUCGUAUUCUUCGAGUUUGCGAGCCAUUGCUGAGCUUUCAACCCCGAAAGUGUGCCCGGCAUGAUCGACUCCGAGAAAAUGUCCGAUGAGCAUAUCCCACUGAUCUGGAUGCUGGAGCGAUGACGUCAAGUGUUGUCUAACACCAUGGUCAACACUGUCCAAAUCUCUAACAUUGAAAGAUGGAUAAACCGAUAUUCCAGCAGCAAAGUGUUCAGGACGAAAUAGCUCCAGCCAGGUGUCAUCGCCAGACAAAGCUAUUCGACGACCAGCCGCAGCGGCCUGAGCUAUGAUGUUAUCCUCUACGAGCUCCGAUGCACCGAAACUAUUACCAACUUCUAUGAAGGUCGGCAGACCACCGGUAAGUAAACCUUUCAGGCGUUGUUGAGUGGUGGUAGGAGGAUCUGCCACGAAUCUGUAAAGCUCUGCGGCUCCCUGGGCUUCAUCUAUGAUCUCGGGUAUCGAAUUAAGAGAAUAACGUUCUUGAACACGGUGAUGGGAUGGAUCGGUGCGACUCUUCGAUACAGCGAAGUCAAAACGAGCACCAUCAAUUAUGAGGAGUACUAUCUUCUGUACGGGACUUUCAAUCCAGCAAGUACCCUCAACAGAUUUUAUUUCAUGCAGAGAGCAAUCAUCAUGGGCUGCUGCCCGUUCUGCUGGGAAGUCCGCGCAAGAACUUCUCUCGGAUAUCUCGAAACGAGCGAGUAAAAAACCCGAGAAGAAGACAAGCAAUGCGAACACUUUGAAAACUGUGAGAGUCAUGAACAGACAAAAUAUGUGAGUUUUUUUUGUGCAGUUUACUGACCAUGACUUCGUCCAGCACAUCGACGAGAAGGCAUGCACCAUAUGAUAAACUUGACUACGACGAGUAGUUUCGAAAGCGCGCCAUCCACCGAUUCUGUCUGGGAUCGCAAGUAAGUAAGACAAAGUAACUUUCUUGAAGAGAAUGUCUCUUCAACAUCUUAGAUUCCAGUACACAUCGUCGCAGUCGCACACAGCUCCGUGUGGGUGUCGGCGUCCCCUGCUCAUAUCCACAAUACCGCGUUUUCUUCAAAUAACGUACAUAUGCACCUCUUUUUCCCAAAUCAUAGCAGAUCCGCCACGAGCUAUGAACGCCGUUGUAGCGGACACGUAGCCGCUACGGACUGCUGUAAAUCGGGCGAAAGAAUAUUUAUGAUGUACUUUCGUAUUUGUGAUUUAUUUGUGUUUCUUGGUAGUACAGUACGUGUACACGUACUGUAGUUGUACACGUAUUCAUUGUAAAAAGUUGUUAUUAGUUAUUUUGUACCUUCUCGUACUUAAUUAUUUUUCGUUAUUCCGGAAGUACGUUGUACGAAAGUACGAAAGUACGAAAGUACAACGUACUUCCGGAACACACACGCACACGUAGCAGUCAGUACAUGUACAUGUACACGUAGCUCUAUCUACACGUACGCAGGUACGGAAGUACGGAAGUACUUCCGGAAGUAUUCUAUUUCGAAGAGCUCUUCCCUCGAAGUACGUGGACACGUACUGUAGGGCUAUCUAUCUUCGAAGAAUAGACUUACUUGCCCUAUCUGCUGGAUACCUUCGUAUCUAGGACUAUUUAUAAGUAGAUAAAAGAUUUAUGAAGGAUAGUACGAAGGUGGCCUACUAGUGUAUGCGCGAUAGGACUACGUGUACAGGAAUAAGUUGCAAAAAAAUACAUUACACGUACGUUGUAGCCCUAGAACUGCCCUAGCUAGUAGAUAGAUAGUUAUCCUGCCUACAGGAGUACGAAAGUACUUCAGGAAGUACGAAAGUACAUCCGUACGUUGAAGGUACGUACAGUAAUAAAUAUGGCAUAUUACAGUAUGUCAUAAGUUGUUACAGUACGGAAGUACUUUCGUACUUUCGUACUUUCGUACUUUUCAUACAGUACGGAAGUACAGUACUUUAUUCUAUCAUACAUACAAGUCUACGUUCUGGAUUACUUUCGUACACGUAGAUAUCUUCGUACACUGUACAACUACGUGUACACGUACAGUACGUUGUACAAGUAAAUUGCGCGACGUGACAGCCUGAUUCAGCGCCCCAUGUGUAUUUAAAGUCCUACGCAGACCAGAAUGCGGUUUUUCACCCGCGUUAAGCUUUUGAUCGGCUAUUGCGAGUAAAAUAUCUUUUCAAAAGUUUUGAUCGGAAAAUCCCUGAUCGCUUUGAUCGGGUCUUUGGUCGGUCGAUCUGACGAUCUGAAUGCGGGUGAAAAACCGCAUUCUGGUCGGCGUACGUAUUCGUGCACUGGGAGCACGGGGAUAGGGACGGGGAUAGUGGGGUCAACAGAAACAUUUGAUAGGCCGCCGUGAAAGCGCGAAAACAUUUGAAAGAACGACUUUCAUCGGCGCGGAACUUUUCAACCGGCGAGGUCGCGGAAGGUUCCGCCGCUGACAGCCUCCGCGACGCCGCGACGACGCCCUUCGACGAACCAAGUCUCCAAACUCGCGGAGUAAACCCAAAACUUACGAUGAAAGCGAUUGCAAAGAAGGACGUUACAUCGUUACUGUCAAGAAUCUGACGAAGUCUGACCGUGAAGUAGCGCGCUGAGGCAUCGCGGGGACAUCUGUGGGAUCGCGCGAGAUCUCGGCGAAGGAGCGUUAGCGCCGAGUUCAUCGAAUUCUUUAGUAUAAUCAUCUCAAUUAAACAAGCUAUGUCGCUUCUCGUAGUCAUUUCCAGCAACUUUACCAAUCGUCGUUUGGCGCGAAAGCGCCUCCCUCUACCUGGGGUCGCCGCCGAAGUCGACGAGGUGAGAACUAACGAAAAAAAGUUGAAGGCCCGCGAAAAAAACCGAGCUGUCGAGCGACGAGUGCCAGCUUCAGAUUCAAGCGAUCGCGACGCGCGUGUUCGGAGGCUUCGCGAGUGAGAUUAUAUAGUGCAACAUGCCUUGUUUUUCUGCGUAAGGGUCUUCCCACGAGAGUUAUGAGAUGACUAGUGCGCCUUCCGGGGCUUGAUUACCUUUCUGCCGUCGUCCCGGCUGCGCCAUGCCGGCGGAGGUGUGCCAGAUGCUGAACCGGUUUCAAAUUUGCUUUUGGGCGCUCGCUUUGAAGUUAUUCGCGCCUAUCAAUUCGAAGGCUUCGUUGAAAGGAGUUUUUGGCCCGCGAGAACGCGCCCUUUGAAAAAUUCCGCGCCGAUGAAAGUUAUUCUUUCAAAUGUUUUCGCGCAUUCAAGUUGGCUUAUCAAAUUUUCUGUUGACCCCGUCCGUUCCCCGUGCUCCCCGUGCACGAAUACUCUGCGUCCACGUAGUCCCUGUGUACGUGAAAUACUGGUUUUUGGAAGACAAAGUAUCACGCGGUACCUCGAAGGUAGCAGGCAUCUUGCGUGGAUAGAUAUUUUGAAGCUCGUGGCCGUAUUCCCUCGAUUAAAAACAGUAAACGCGCGUAGAUCAUCCACAAGUAUUGCGGCCUGUAAGCCUGGUUGACAAUGUGUGUGAUUGAUGCAGCAUGUAUAGCGGAUUCUCCAUACAUUUUCACAGCUAAGAGAUCAGAGUGGAUGCGAAGGGCUCCGCGAAAUAAAAGUCGUCCUCCACAUAAUGACCUUACAGGUUCUGUAAUUCUCAUGAGGCGAACACGUCGUAGAAAAAGGGGACGUUUUCGAGGUGCUUCCACGACAGCAAAAGUGCAGUUUUGUGAGGGGUGUGACUUCCGGAAAACCUCGAAGCAAAUGAAAACGGAGUAUGGGCGCGAAGAGUAUGGAUUUUACGUAGCUUUCCACGUUGAAAAACAUGGUUCUCUUGCCAACCAGAUCGAUAACUGGCGAAGGGACUUCGUAGCUUUAAGAGGUCGCGAACCUUGUCAUGAAGACGUUCCAGAAGUCAUUCAUAACUUGAAGAAAACAUACUUAAGUUUAUCAUUCAAGUGAGUUGCGUGAACCUCUGUAAAUACUGCUCUUGCUCUUACACUCACUCAACACUUCAAGUCAUACUCAGAAAACUCACUGACAUCGUUAAAUUUUUCACUGUGACCAGCAGGUUAUCCCAGCUUGAUUGAAAGAAAAUUUACAAGAGAAAUGCCGGGGCAACAGCAUCACAUGUUGGAAUAGAACAGCCAUUUUGGCUCAGGAAUCUUCAGCCAACCCGACCGAAGUGCUAUUUUUCACGUGUCCAUUUUCGUCCAGGGUGGGUGGAUUCUCAACUACGACCAUGUUAGCGCCACGCUUUCCUCUGGUAAAAAUCGUCACAGUAAUAUACUGACAGGCAGCACACUGCACGGAUAGUGCACCGGCUGAAUACUUGAGCAUCAUCCUGCAGCCUCCGCACUGACAGUAUCUUACCUGAUUAUCUGAGCAGAAUUUCUUGGAAUUUAUUCAAGAACACUUCCAGCAGACAGAACAUAAAUGUGUAUAUGAAAGGAAAUAUGGUACCUGAAAUUGGAGCAACUGGAGCAGCAGUUAUUGAGUUGCAGACAGUACACGACACACUAGCAGCACCAGAUCUGUACAUGAGUUGAAUAUGGCAACUUCCGCAAGUUAGCCAAGCUAUAUCUUCAGAUGAUGGGGCAGGUGUGACAGUAUGGCACAGAGCGCACUGCACGUAGGCUGCGCCCUGCGAGGUAAAGAAUUUGCAAGAUCCAGAGGCCCUUGAGGGUAGUAUGGAAGUUUUAAUACCUGCAGAUAUGUGAGCAGUGCUCCACAACCUUGACCCGUGCAAAUUAGGUGGCCAGAACUGAAAUUAUCUGAAGAAGAUUCAGAGGGGCCACAUAUCUUAGCGAUAGUCGUAAAAUCAAGAGUGUGGAGUAAAACUUGUAUCCUAGAAGGAAUUCAGAGAUUGUGAAACCCCAAAAGUGUACUUGUAGAGCGGCAAAUGCUAGCUGGCAUCGAAAUUCAAAAGUUUGGAACGGAAAAUGGUCGAGCAAACCAACUUCGAGAGAAGGAGGAGUUUAAAGCACAAUUAUACCUGCUUGACUCGACGGAAAAUUGACCCCCCUCGCUGUGUUUACAAUAGACUAUCAUUUCGAAAACGCAACACUCAAUCGUCUUCGUACCUUCCCGUGACAACAUUGCCUCUAUCUGACUAUGUGGAAAACAGAUGAGCUGCCGUUUAUUUCGGCGUUAUCACAGCGUAGCGACCUAUAAUGUUUAGGACCCACGGCCGAUUCGCAAACUAACCUUGUUCCUAUUGAUGCCAACAAAAUCUGCGGUGUCCUGCACCUUUCGCUAUUCCGCGUAAACUCACGAGUGCAGGGCGGAAACUUACCGUACAGCUGAAAAACACAGGGCAAGGGUCACGUCCUAUCGAAUACCUACAGAACAAAUUCUCCUCGUCAAUGCAGAUGGAACGGCAAACCGAAGCCGCACAGGAGGAAGAGCGCGGCCGCUCACGAUUCGAGCGCAGAGGCCAGACACCCUGUUCACAGUAAGCAGCGAAGCACCAGCAGCUCCACGUACUUUAUUUGUACAAACCUUCGUUUCCGAAGUAUUGGACCAUUUUAUAAUAUCAGAGUGAGUACAGUAUGUUUAUGUAUCAUAGUGUACGUGUAGUCUAUGAUAUGACAAUGGUAUGACAGUACUGUAUCAGUAUUGUAGCUCUCACCGCGUUAAACGUAGUUCCUUCGAAGGUACUAAAGUACGAAAGUACUUUCGUACGAAAGUACGAAAUAAAGUACGAAAGUACGAAAGUACUUUCUACCUUCGAAGGUAGCUAGCUACCUUCGUACUAGCUAUCCAUCAUAUGCUACUUUCGAAUGUUGUACUACAUUCGAAAGUAGCGUAGUAGCUAGCUAGAAUUUGCCUUACGUGUACACGUACACGUACGUGUAGCCAAAACAACUUACCUUCGUAAAGUUCAUGUUUUAUUUAUCGAUCUACGUGUACAACUAUUGAUCUACGUGUACUGUACACACAGUAAUACCUUCAUUUCAUUUAUUCGGUAUUAUUAUCACUUUAUUAUCAUUGUUGUAUCUACAACGUUGUACAAGCUACCUUCGUAGCUAGUACCUGUAGGGCUAGAUAGAGACUACACGUACGUUGUACUUUCGAAAGUACUUCCGGAAAUAUCUUAAGUAAUACAACAUAGAUACAGUAUCCUAAGUUGUUACUGAUAUCCCUCCAUGUACGUGUACUGAACACGUGUGCGUGUAGGGGUAGCUAGAAUAAAAAAAACUUAUCAUAGCUCUAUUUAGUGUCUUCGGCGACGGAAUUCCGUCGCUUUCCGGGCAAAAAACUGAAUCUUUAUCUACAAUAUGGGCAAUCAUCGACGAGUACGAGUAGUUUUCCUCACCGUACUCAUUUUUUUGUGAUUUUCCGUCGAUUUUCCGCCGAUUUACGCCGAAAAACGGUGGAAAUUCGGCACUUGUUACCAAUUGCCCAUAGGGGAAAAAUCUUAGUUUUCCGUCACCGAACGAGACCUACUCCGAAGGUAUGAAACAUCACGGGGCUACUGUAGUGCCAUCAAGAGCUAGUCGCUACACGCUGUAGUAGACCUCACUUGUGAAGAAACGAGACAGGUCUUCGCGAAACGCAUCAUACGCUUUCUUCAUACACAUAGAAUGCAGAUUGCGUCAAAGUCGGUCCAGGACAAGUUGGCGCUGGAGGCGAACGAUUUUCAGAUGAUCCAGAAAGGUGUGCGUUGACUCCCUUUCUGUCGACCUUGAGCGAGCGUUAACGUCCUAGUUUUGAACUUUCUUAGAGAUCAGUCGAAGCAUGCACAGUCGCCGGCAAUUCGUACAGCAAUUCAGUGAGAAUGACAUGGUUAUGAAGGUGGGAUAGCUGCGCAAAAAUUGUUGGACAAGUUCUGAUUUUGGUGCGUCUCGUAGGAGCUCGAGAGAAUCGACGACGAAGAAAAUGGCGUCUAUAAACUCAUCGGGCCAGUAUUGAUCAGGCAGGAUAUCGUAGAGGCUAAGAAUAACGUAGGCAAGCGCCUCAAUUUCAUUCGGAACGAAACGUGAGUGUGCGGUUCUCGCCGGUUUUGAAACUUGCCAUUUCGCAUUUUCAAAUCAUUUUCGUUUCUGUAACAUAACUUUUGUUUCAGGGUUCGUAUCGAUAAACUACUGAAGGUGUUUGAAAUCAAGCAGGAGACAAAACAUAAGGAGGUUCGUGCUUCAUUUUUAAUGUUCCGUGCAUGUGAGCAAAUGAGAUUUCAUUUGAACCACAGAUACUUGAGCUCCAAAAGAAGUUGUAUUCAAACUGCGCCGAGUAGCCACUUUCGCACAAGAGGAAGGUUCACAGGAUAUGAGCUCAGUUCCUGCUUUCUUAGAAGCUUAGGAGAGAAAAGGCGUGACUGCUGCCUCAGGAGUUAAUAUGUUUGGUACCUUUUACGUGAUGGCUCUUACAAGUAAUAAACCUAGCACAAUAGAAAGUCGCAGUCUUUGUCCAAAAUCAAUGAGACUUCCGCGAAACACCCAACAGCUUCACGCGAUUCAUAGAGUUUCGGGCAUCAAUUGUCCUCUGGCUAUAACCCUGGUUCCUAUCCAGCAGUCGGUGCUGUUGUUCAAGCCUCGCCUCACGCUUGCGGUGGUGCUGCAAAUCUGUCUGAAAAGACUCGUCAGCUUGCGCCUUCCGGCGCAGCGUCUCCAUCCUGAAGAUAGGAACAACCUCUUCCCUGUACUCCUCAAACUCUUCAAGGCUUCUAUUUGCGCGAGCUGCAAAUGCCGUGUCGUUUUCACUAAGAUACUUCAUCGGGAAAGGUUCUGGUGCACACUUGAAACGCUUCAAGAAGGUGUGCCGAGGCUUGAUACGUUUAUCCAGAGAAAGAGAAAAGUAUGCUGGAAACUUUACACAUGUCUUCAGAUCCCCACCUAGCUCUCCAGUGAGGUAAUCAUACUUUGGUCUGAGUGAAUCCCUGACACUUAAUGAAAAGAGUUGCGAUAAUCGGGUCACAGUGUGCACGAUAUCCUCCUCGUCCAUACCAAUAGACAUCAAAAAGUUGAUGUGCUCUCCUAAACCAUCGAAGCUAUACUGCAAGAUGCGAGGAUGCCGGACAAUCAUCUUAACAACACUCUUAUGUGAUAUACCCAGGUCUUUGAGAAAAUCCACCCGUGGUUUUAUUUGUUUCUCAAUCGAAAAAGUCAACACAGCAGGGUUCCGCUCGAUGAGUUUCACGACUUCUGCGUCUGAAACUAAUAGCUCAUUUUUGAAAUAUGCAACACGAGGCAUAAGUCCGUUCUGAACAGAAAGAUGUAAAAUCUGUGGUUGUUUCCGAAGAAGGGUUGGCAACUUCUCUGCUGGUAUACCCAAUUCCAUCAGGUAGCGGCAACGCGGAAUUGAGUGGCGAUUUCGCUGCAAGAGAACGUUAGGCUCUUUUUUAAUUAGUUUCCGUAGUUCGGCACCCUCGAAACCAAGCUCGUUUUGUAGGUAUUCAACUCGCGCAACAACUUUUGCCACAGGGCGCCUGAAAACUUCCUCGCAGUUCACAAGAACCUUUUCCAGCUCACACGUGGACAGCCCUAAACUUACUAGAUAACUUAUCAUGGGUCGCCAUUUCUUCUUUAUGUGCAGGUUUCGUGAUAACUUAUCGAAAAGAUCGUCUGGUAUCGUCUGAUAGUCCUGGUGCUCCAUCAUCUUCCAGUCGAUGAAAGAUCCUGCUGUAAUUUUGCCAUCUGGUUGCUCACACAGACCUGCAUCUGGACUUGAACCAACUAUAUUGGUAGGUCGCACAGCAAAUUUUCCGUUUUUCAUAUCCAGAAGGGCGUCUGUUGCGGCACUACUGGUAAAGGGAUCAAGAUUUCUAGGUGGCUCUGUCUCACACAGACUUCUGUUUCUUGCUGCCAACGAUUUAAUUGUAAUUGGUGCCUGAGUAAUACUUGCCGCGUCUAGACCUUCUCUGCAACUCACGCUCUGACGCCAAUCCAGAUAAGCCGGGUCGUGCAAACAUCCUUUCAUCGCAUAUGCCGUGUUUGAAUGAGCACUGAAGGACAAAUUCCUGUAGUUUUUUUUCGGUCCUUCUCUGUUCUUCCUUGGCGCCGUGUAAGCUGCCGUCUGGCGUAAUCCGAAAUCGCGCCCGUCGGCUCCCGAAGCAGAGCGAGCUUCCCUGGUGAUUUUCGAGCGCAGUGGAGAGUGCAGAUUGUGUAAACCUGCAUUCCGAGACAGCGGCACGUCCGGAAGGCCCGAUGUUCCCGCCUUCACCCAACGGAGAAUAUUAGCACGGCGUUUUACUUUUUUAGGGUUAUGUGGGUUAACCGUACAACUGUCAGAGCAGCAGGUCCAAGCUAGUGCACACAAAUCAGUCGAAGCUCUCAAGCUUCUACUGAGUAUCAUGUCGAGUUGCAAAAGAGCGGCUCCUAUUCGUCUAAGUGGUGUACGACCAGCAGGAAACCGACAGUCAGCUUGUGACAAAUGAGUUUCUUGGCUGACUCGCUACGUCGGUCGGAAGUACGGAAUGUGUACAGUACGGAAGUACUUUCGUACGAAAGUAUUUACUUUCGUAUCAUACUUUCGUACGAAAGUACUUUCGUACUUUCGAAGUACUUCCGAAAGUACUUUCGUACUUCCGAUUUUCGGAAGUAUUCUAUUCGUACGGAAGUAAGUUGUUAUCGUAUCGAUCAUACAGUACUGUAAAACAACUUAUCAUAUCAUACUACUGCAUUUGUAUGAAGAUAGAUACUUCCGGAAGUUCUUCCGAAGUACGAACGAAAGUACGAAAUAAAGUACGAAAGUACGAAAGUACUUUGUACGAAAGUACGUACUUCCGUACGAAAGUUCUUCCGUACUUCCUUCCGAACACGUAGCGACGUGUAGCUAUCCCAUCCACUAUUAUUGAUGGUACGUGUAGUCGCGUGUACUUCCGGAAGUACAACGUCGUACGAAAGUAGUUGUAUCUUGUAUCUUCGAAGGUAAUGAGUUGUUACGGAAGUACUUCCCGAAGUAUCUACGCAGGUAUACAAUAGCAAUAAGUCAACUUAUUAACGCGCGGCAUGUGCGUACUUCCGGGAGUACUUCUGUAAUAUUACGACGGUGGCUAUUGAAGGUACAUAGCUACGUGUACAUACUACAUUGCUACAUAUCUUCGAAGGUACUUUCGUACGAAAGUACUUUCAAAGUACUUUCGUACUACAAUGGUACAGACGAGGUGCCCUAAGUGAAAAUCGUAUGACGCCCAGUCAGCCGCGUAUCGGCCAAAUUAACGCCAAAUUAACUUGCGAUUUUUUUAUUCCAAAUUCGUAUGAGCGUUCGUCAGACGCGCCCCCUCACGUCCGCGCUUUCCCAUGCGCCGCCGCAGCUUGAACUGACCUGAAACUUUGCACAGGAACCAUUUGCGAUUUUAGACACCAGAUCCAUGCAUUUGCGCCGCGAGAAAAAGACAGGAAGACCGUUUUCGGACCCCUAGGGAACUUUGCGCGGAUACGGAGAAUUUGACUCGUAACGACGNNNNNNNNNNNNNNNNNNNNNNNNNNNNNNNNNNNNNNNNNNNNNNNNNNNNNNNNNNNNNNNNNNNNNNNNNNNNNNNNNNNNNNNNNNNNNNNNNNNNAGUACAACGUCGUACGAAAGUAGUUGUAUCUUGUAUCUUCGAAGGUAAUGAGUUGUUACGGAAGUACUUCCCGAAGUAUCUACGCAGGUAUACAAUAGCAAUAAGUCAACUUAUUAACGCGCGGCAUGUGCGUACUUCCGGGAGUACUUCUGUAAUAUUACGACGGUGGCUAUUGAAGGUACAUAGCUACGUGUACAUACUACAUUGCUACAUAUCUUCGAAGGUACUUUCGUACGAAAGUACUUUCAAAGUACUUUCGUACUACAAUGGUACAGACGAGGUGCCCUAAGUGAAAAUCGUAUGACGCCCAGUCAGCCGCGUAUCGGCCAAAUUAACGCCAAAUUAACUUGCGAUUUUUUUAUUCCAAAUUCGUAUGAGCGUUCGUCAGACGCGCCCCCUCACGUCGAAUAUAACAAAUCGCAAAUUAAUUUGGCAAAUAAUUUGGUGACUUAGGGCACCUGGUCUACAACGUUGUAUUCUACGGAAGUACUUUCACUUCCAUACGAAUAAAAUUUGGAAAUUGUUUUACUCGUACUGUAGGGCUACAUGUACACGUGUACAGUACGUGUGCGGUCUGAGUUUGUAAUAGUACGGACUACGGAGUACACGUAGUACUACUACGUACGGACCCUAAAUCAGGAACCUAGACACUGAGUCUGCCUCGCGAUGAUCGAUCGUGAGGUGACAAGGGUCGUCGUGUCUAGUUCAAGAUACACGAGCACAGAUGACGCAAAUGUGCCGAAAUGUACGAGUGGAGUCUGGGAUAGGUCUGAGGAAGCCUGAAUCCGAAUAAGCGUGCGGGAAUGACGAAUCCCGUGUGCUACGAAGCAGGAGGUAACGAAGUGACGAAACUGACAAGACAGUUUCGGAACGGUUUGAGUGAGAGUAACAGGAACCUGUAUCCAAUCGGGAGGGAUCAAUCCUACAAACGUUAGAGGACACAAGUUGUGGUGGAGGGCGAGCUUAAUCACCACUACAACGCCAGUGCUGUGCCUAAUCAAUAAAGCUGAUAAGGUAGUACAUGUAGUGCGUAUGAUACGAGAUCAUAACAGAAGUAGUACGGGGUAAUUCUCCGUGAAUGCAUGUACGAAGGUUCUUCCGUAGCACUUUCGUAGCACUUUACUGUAUGUAGCCAUGCAAGUUUAAAGUACGUGUACACGUGUACGUGUACAGUAAGUUGAUUAUUUUAUCUACGAAGAUAAAAAAAUACGAAAGUAUACGUACUGUACCUUCGUCGAAGAAUAUUUAUAGUAUGUGUAGUGUAGCUAUUACUGUAUAGAGAGUUAUAGAGACUAUGUAGUUUAUGUUACGACUUUAUUAGGACUUCCGUACUUCCGGAAGUGCUUCCGGAAGUUCCAUCGAA